rnacentral:lncRNA from 1 species
UUGAACAGAGAAUGUUAACGAUCCCGCUUUCGAUUUGAACCGAGGAUGUUAAUGAUACCCGCUGCUAGGGUACUCCGGUCUUUCAUAGCUCUUUGUAAAGCGAGGGCUCUACCAUGGAAACUAUUUCCUGUCUAUAUUUAGCAAUGGUAUAUUAAGACUAAAUCAUUAAUUAAAAAUAAGUUAUAUUUGUAUUAAGUUUAAAAUUCCUAAUUUAAUGAAAGAAAUUGAUUUACUUUUAGAAAAUCUUUUGAUCAUUUUUCAAAUUAUUAUGUAAUUAAUGAAAAAUUGAUUAAAAAGCCUUAAAUUAAACAAAAUCAAAAUAUAGAGUAAAUAUAUGUGUUAAUUUCAAUAUAAUUAAAGAAAAAAAAAGUAAUUUAUCUUAAUAAAAAAUAUAAUUUUUUAAAUAAAUAAAUUCGACGGCGACGGCAUCUUAGUCUACCUUCUGUUUAUUUCCCCGCGACACAAACAGAAUACCCAUGAAUCUAUGCCAGCAGCAGCCAGAAGCAGUAGCCGGAGAUGCCUCAUGCUUUUGGAGAAAUGCAAGAGCAUGAAGCAGCUCAGGCAAGCACAUGCUCAGGCAAUCACUUGUGGCCUCGCUAACAAUUCCUUUGCUUUAAGCAGAAUUAUAGCCUUCUGCUCUGACCCACGUUAUGGGAGCCUUAACCACGCCUGGAAACUCUUUCAACAUGUUCAACAGCCUACUCUUUGCAUUUGCAACACCAUGAUUAGAGCUUUCUUGCUCAAAGAUGAACUCACCAAUGUCUUCAAUUUGUACUCUACUAUGCUCCAGAAUGGGAUGUCCCCUGACAAUUAUACUUUGCCUUGUGUGUUAAAAGCCUGUUCAAAGUUGCAAUCUUGUUUUCAUGGUGAGUUAUUACAUGGGCAUUGUUUAAAAUUAGGUUUUGUGAUUAAUACUGUUGUGGGUAAUUCUUUGAUGUCAAUGUACUGUGGGUUUAGUAAUGUGAAGGCAGCGAGAUACGUAUUUGAUGAAAUGCCUAGUCCAUGUGCUGUGUCGUGGACAUUAAUGAUCUCUGGGUGUGCUAAAGUGGGUGAUAUUGACUCUGCAAGGUUGUUCUUUGAUGGAGCUCCAGAGAAGGAUAGAGGAAUAUGGGGUGCCAUGAUUUCUGGUUACGUGCAAAACAACUGUUUCAAGGAAUGUUUAUAUAUGUUUAGGCUGAUGCAGAUGACUGAUAUGGUUCCAGAUGAGGGUAUCUUUUUAAGCAUACUUUGUGCUUGUGCUCAGUUAGGUGCUUUAGAUACUGGAAUUUGGAUUCACAGAUAUUUGGACAGAAUAGGACAGCCAUUGAGUAUCCGCUUAACCACGAGUCUCAUUGAUAUGUAUGCAAAGUGUGGGAAUUUGGAUUUAGCCAAGAAACUGUUUGAUGAAAUGCCUCAGAGGGACACAGUUUGUUGGAAUGCCAUGAUUUCUGGUUUGGCAAUGCAUGGAGAUGGAGAGGGUGCACUUAAGUUGUUUUGGGAGAUGCAGGAGGCUGGGUUUAAGCCAGAUGAUGUCACAUUAAUGGCUGUGUUCUCUGCUUGUAGUUAUUCAGGCAGGGCACAUGAAGGUUUAAGAAUAUUAGAUAGAAUGUGUAAUGUGCAUAAUAUUGAGCCCAAGAGUGAACAUUAUGGGUGCAUGGUUGAUCUGCUUAGUAGAGCAGGCCUCCUUCAAGAAGCAAAAGAAAUAAUCCAAAGAAUGCCCAAUUCAAGAAGCUCCUCUGAAGAAGCAAUAGCUUGGAGAGCAUUACUAAGUGCUUGCUGCAACCAAGGACAAGCCCAACUGGCUGAGGUUGCAGCUGAGAGACUUCUGCAAUUAGAACUUCACAGUGGAGCAUAUGUUCUGCUUUCAAAUUUGUAUGCAACCGCCGGGAAACAUAAUGAUGCGAAAAGGAUAAAGAAGAUGAUGAGAAACAAAGGGGUAAACAAGGCACCUGGCUGCAGUUCAAUCAAAAUUGAUGGCAUUGUUCAUGAGUUUGUUGCAGGAGAGAAAACACAUAAACAAAUGGAAGAAAUAGAAUCUGUUUUGGAGAAGAUGAAAAAGCAGUUGAACUAUUUGGGUUGCAACCCCUACCCAUUUCUGGUUGACCAAACAUGAAGCAUUCACUCUUCAAUAUUAAAGUGAUUCUCUGGUAAAUAUUCUUGUUCCAUAAUAUUCUUUUACAAGAUACAAGUGAUUUAUAUAGUUAAGCUUUUUAGCUUAAUUUAGUAGACUUAGACAUGCUGAAGGGUAAACUCCAACGAUGGUGUUGGUGAAGAAUUUAUGGAGAACACUUGCUCUUAACAUUGUGAAACAUUUUAUAUGAAUUACAUGCACUAUUUGCAUCAUUUGGUUACAAAAAUGGAGUUAUCCAAAUUUGUUUAUAUAAAUAAUUAAUUAAAAAAAUACAAAACUAAAUAUAUUUGAGGACUCUCAAAUAUAGUAAUAAUAAUAAUAAUAAUAGCAAUAAUAAUAUGCUUGAAACAGAUUUUAAGAUGAAUUUUAAUCAUAUUUGAGACAAGUACUAGAUUGGAUAUGAUUUUUUGCAGCUGCCAUUCAUGUACAGUAGCAUCUUUCAGAGCAUUCAAAUCGAAAACGGUCUACAAAAGUGUGGCAUAUAGUUGCUUGAUUUAAAGAAAGAGAAAUGACACAAUUCCAUUGAUCAGCAAAACUUUUUGUAAAGCUACUAGAUUUUCUAUUUUCAUUCACAAGCACAAAAAUAUAGAUUUCCCGUGGCAAAUAUGAAUAUGAAUAUGAUCACAGUAUCCACAGAAUUAAAGAAUAGGUUGAUGUCUGCUAAACUAAGAAAUCUGCGUCAGAGACUUCAAGGACCUUAUGGACACCUAUUGGGUUUACACCUGGCUUGAAUGCAUUUCUUUCAAUAUACCUGCACGGGCAAUUAAUACAUUAUCAAAUCACUGCAUUCACAAUUUCAGAAUUGUUAAGUUCACAAGGCUGAAUGGAGAAAGAGACUCACAUUUCUUUCAAGUAUGAAUGUUUAUAAAAGGCAUCAGGAAUUCUCCCUGAAAAUUGAUUGUGAUCCAAGUAUCUGGAAUAACAUCAAGGCAAGCUUAAAGCAUAAAAGAAAGAAACCAAAAAAAAAAAAAAGAAAAUCUGUGCAGUAAAACAUCAAAACUUUCAACAGUGAGCAAAAAUGCACCAAUAUAUGUACUCUAAUAUUUUUCCCAACGAGCAGGAAGGAAUAAUCAAUCCACCUAACAAGGCAAGCAGACUUGUAUUUAUGUUGCUAAGAAUAGCCAUGGACAUUCUGCUAACCAUAUACAUAUAGCUAAGUGAAAAACAAAGAAUCAAGAAUUUGUAUCCUAUAUAUUCUCUACUAUUUUAAAGAAGAAUGUCAUAUAGCUAUGCAACAAUUCAUUUGGAUAUCAAGAAGAUAAAUGAUGAUCAGCAAAGUCUCCUCAAAACCCUGAGCAGGCAUUCACAUCAAUUUAUUAUAAUGUGGCUGUAAAAUAUCCUUAACAUCUGCCAUUAAUCCAUUAUUGAGUAUCCAAACUAAUGGGCAAAAGUGAUCUGUAUUAAAUAUUUGAAAGAAAAGGAGUAACAUAGGGAAACAAAAGGUUAAAGUGAUUUUUCUUGGAGAGUAGCUUUUCUUUUUCUUCAAAAAAAUGUCAUAGUAUGUUAUAUAUCAGUAAUUCUUUUUUUUUUUUNNNNNNNNUGUCAACCAAAGAAUACAUCAGUCAAUAAAAAAUAGUGUACAAAUGCUCCAGGAGAAAGCCAUAUCCAUUUUAAAUCCAACCCCCACCCCCACCACCCCCAUACCCAACCAGCUAACCAACCGAGAAAAGAAAAAGGGACAAAAAAAGGUGGAAGCAGUAAAAGGAACUUACAAGUGAGUCAAUCUAGGAAUAUGAGCAAGUCCAGCAGGUAUUAUUCCAGACAUCUUAUUAUAUGAUAGAUGCCUGUAACCAAUAAAGCCAUCAAUUACACAAAACUCAUUGUAAAAAAUAACGGAAAAAUCUAUCCUGGAAGUCAAUUCGUUUGUGCAACCCUUGCACAUUAAAUUUAGAAAAGUAAAAAAUAAAAGCAAAGCACUACUUAUCAAAUGGCUGCAACAACUGAAAAACAAAGUGUGAAAUAAUAAUAAUGAUACGAAAAUGAAUAAAACUCACAAUAUUUCUAAAUUGCUCAAGUUUGCCAGUUGUGCAGGGACUCCUCCAGUGAGGUAAUUAUUACUUAGGUAACUGCAUAUCAUGGUCAGAAAUGGAGUUACUUAAAUUAGACUUUGUUCAUUCAGCAGAAACUAUCACUUAAAUUGUGAAUCUGGCAGAUCAUAUAAUCUUACAGGUUUCGAAGUGCAGGAAAGCAACCCUCAAAUCGUAUUAAUUCUCUUAUAGUACCCACCAAAUGAUUGCUGCCAACAUCCCUACACAUAUGGUUUCACAAUGAGACAUUAAAAUUAUAAUGAUAACCAUUACUAUACAAACAUUCAAAGGAUAAAAUGUUACAAGUGCCGAAGAUGUUGCAAAGUUCCCAACUCUGCAGGAAUUCGCCCAGAAAAGCGAUUCUCAUGUAGGUAAAGAUACCGGAGUUCAGGAAGAUUAGCUAGCUCCUUCGGUAUUUCACCUUUGAAAUUAUUGAAGCUCAGGUACCUUCAAAAGGUUGACUCAUCAACUUUAAACAGAAUAAAAUUUUAAGAUUCGAAAUCAUGGCGGGAGAACAUCCAAUUUACUCACAAAUGGGUUAAACUCUUGAGUUCACCAAUUUCAGGAGGAAUGACAUCUUGCAGUUUAUUCCACCUCAAAUUGCUAAGAUAACAGCAAAAAAGGACCAAGAUAAUAAAUCAAACUUUGCACCAAUUAAUCAAACUGCUCUAAAGCUCAAAUGAAACACAAAAUAAUAUUAGUACAAAAGGAAGAAAAAGGGGUAUACAGUAUCUUAAGACGCUUCAAGCGCCCAAUUUGGGGAGGAAUAGGCCCUGUCAAUUUGUUGUUAUGCAGAUCCCUGUUACAAAGAAAGAUCAACUGAAGCAAGCAACAAAUCAAAAGAAAACACAAAAUAAAAGAAAAGGAAAAUCAUACAGUAUGGUGAGAUCCAACAGAUUGGUAACAGCAGUAGGAAACGGUCCAACAAUUGACACAGCAUAAACUUCCCUGUAAGCAAUAAUCAGGCAUCACUUAUUCCCUUUUAGCCUUGUAAUUUAAAAUUUUUCAAGUGUAAUUUGGAGUGAGAAAUUUACAAUGCAGUGACGACUCUAUAAUCUCCUUGAGUGGAGCAAGUGACGCCGGACCAAGGCGGAAGAUCGCCAUCACCACAAGGAUCAUCGCCAACCCAAGCGUAUACGACUCUCCAACCAAGCGAUGCCUUAAUCUCAUUCAAAGCCUUGACUAAAAAAGACAGAAAGCAAAAAUCCAGUGAAUAGCUUAAGGAAUUCUACAUUUGUGGUAUAGUAGCACAAGAAAGAAAGAGAGGUCUGGGGAUCUACCGUCGCGCUUGAGGGUUUUGGAGGAGGCGAGAUUCAGUAGCAGAGGGAAAAUUAGGAUCAAGAACGCCCAAUUUAAUAGAUGCGCCAUCUUCCCGAAGCUCCGAUCCAACUCCUAGUGAAAGUCGUUAGUUAAUAGCUCUUCAGUUUCAGCUGACGCUCAAUUGUCUGACGGUGGCAGAAGAGCAAAACGACGCGUUUUGGAUGGAUAUCCAAUAUUAACUUUUUUAAUUUUAGAGGUUAAAUUAAAAAUUAAAUAGAAAUAAAAAUACUUUUACAUGUGAAAAUUAAUAUAUAUAUUCUUAUAAUUUUAAAAUUAAUAUUUUAAUUUAUCAAAUCGAAAAUCUCUAAUAGUAUUUUAUUAGUGCUCUUAUAAUUUUUUAAACCUUUUUAUCAUUAAAAAUAUAACUAGUACAAGUUCAUGCUCAUCAAAAAAUAAAUUAGUAAUUAUAUUAAAGAUACGUUAUAAUUUAAUUUUUAUAGUUCAAUAAAACUUAAUUUAUAUUUUUAAAAAUCAACUAUUUAAUCUUUAUAAUUAUAAAAAUCAAUAAAUUAGUUUUAAAAAAUAUAAUUAAGUCAUCAUUGCUUUAUUAUUUAUUUAAAAACUAACUAAUGAUAUAUUUUUAAAUUACCAUAACAUAGGAAAUUAUAGAGAUUAUUAUUUAUAUAAGCACUAAUUUGCUAUAUGUAUUUAAAUUAUAAAAAUUAAAUAGUUAAAAUAUAUAAGAUUAAAAAACUAAAUUAUAAAUGAAAUCGACCAAUUCUAACUAUAUUUCUCACAAUAGAGACUAUUUUUUAUAAUUAUUUUAAAAUUUUAAAAAAAUUACUAUUUAAUUUCUAUAAUAUAAAAAAAUUUAUUAAUUAUUUUUUUAAUUUUAAAAAAUUACUAAAAUAUCAUUGAUAUUUUAAAAAAUUUAUCGUUAAAUAUUUUAUUAUUUAGUUUCUAUAAUUUUAAAAAAUUUAUUAAUUAAUCUUUUAAAUUUUUAAAAAAUUUACUAAUUAAUUUCUCCGUAUCAAGAACAUUUCAAAUUUUUUAAAAAUAUUUAAUAAUUAAAAUUAAUGAAAAAAAUUAUGAAUAGACUUUUUAAAAUGUCAAAAAUAUUUUAAUACAUUUUUCAAAAAGAUAAAAAAGUGAUUAAUAAAUUUUUAUUAUAAAAACUAAAUAAUAAUUUUUUUAAAAUAUUAAUAUAUAUAUAUAUAUAUAUAAAAUAUUAGUAUAGAUAAUCGAUUUAAUAGCCGUUAAUAUGUUAGUGAAAUGUUCCACAUUGAUCCAAAGAAUAAAUUCGGCUGAGGCUUCAAAAGAAAGCCUUUUUUUCUUUCCAUCCCUUAAAUUUGAAGAGUUGCCAAACAAGAUUCUCAUCCACUUUCUCAAAGCAAAAAACCUGCAGAAAAGUUACUACAAAAUCCACUUACCUUUUAUAAAUUAAAGAUGAAGAAUCAAGACACAGAAAGAAAAUCAAAGAAUACUUGUCUUGACAGAGCAGGCUUUUAAGAUCCAAAACAGGCUUCGCAUGCAAAGCAUAUCCAACUUUGCUUGCACUCUCUCCCUGAUUACAGCCAAUGAUCAACUAUAACAAACCUUCUUUCCUUUUUCCUGCAAAUAAAAACAGAGCCACAAAUGGGUCCAGGACAAUUCUCCAGGAAGUUAACAUUUCAUCAGGAUUUGUAAAUGGAGUAUUUGAUCAGGCAAACUAACAGGUGAAUGCAGCUGCCAGUUUUUCUUUGGUGCUAUUUUAUUUGUGUUCUUGUAAUUUGGUGACUAACCAAUUCUGUCAGGGCGAGAUUUUCAGGACAACAAAGCAUAGCAGGCCCUGGCAGCAGCAGCAGCAGAGAUAGAAGAAUACCUCCCCAGAAAACACCAUCCAUCAAAGAAGGUAAUUCUUAUGAUUCUUUAUCUCUAAUUCGAGCCCGUCUGGCAUUGUGGUUGAGGGACAUGUCGGCCAGGUGUAACAGCAUCGUGCUCAGAUCUCUUUGAACUAUAGCUCUUGGACUCCUACGCUAGAAGAAAUUGGAGUUGCAUGUAUGCUAACAUCUUAAAUUUUUAGCAUGUUGAUAAGCGCAUGAUCUUAUAAUUGAUAUCAUACCUAAGAUCAUGUGUUCGAAAUCCUAGCAGGUGUUGAGGAGAGAUAAAAACGCUAAUUCAUACGUCGAAAAUAGUUAUUACUUUAGUGAAAGUGUUUUUCUCGAUGACAGUUCCAACAGCAAUGCCGAAUGGACUUCACUAGCCCAUUACUAACAUAACCUUGGUGGAUUUUGCAGACAAAAAGAGACCUCAGAACUGGUUCCGGAGACAAACUGCUUGGCAGAUGAAUCGAGAUUUAGACUUAAAUGAAAUAGAGCGAGCAACUGCAAUAGCAGCUGCUGCAUAUGCUAUUUCAUCAUUGGAAGAAUCCAGCAUUCCAGAGCAGAAAAAGAUCAGCAAGGGCACUGAAACUUCUUUGCCUGGAACUAAAAGCAGAAAAAAAGGUAUAAAAACCUGGAAUUGUAUCUGAAGAGAUUUCAUUUGAAACUAAUUAUCAUUAAAUUGUCUAUGUUAUCAGGUGAAGAUUCAAUGAGAAUUCCAGAAAUCCAGGAUGAAAAAACACCAGCAAAGGUUGUUCGUCCUACUCCAUCAAUGAAAAAGACUCCAACUUUUCCUGAAAAGCCUGCUCUGCCGAUGAAAAAAAUUCCAACUUUUGCUGAAGAACAGUUGAGCAGAACUGAUGAAAUACAGCCUCAAAGCCCAAAGCCAAAACCUGAUAUGCCUGCCAAAAAACCUGAAGCGGCAGUGUCAAAACCUGAUCAGGCUGCCACUACUAAACCUGCAGCUUCCCCGGCGAAAUUCGACAGGCAGACUUCAAUAAGACCUGUAAUCGGAGGAACAAAAGCAGAUACCUGGGAAAGUGCUGAGCUGGCCAAGAUAAAAAAGAAGUACUGCUUCAUUUUGAGAGAUUUUCUUUUUCCAAUUAUAAGCAAUUUUGAGUCAUAAAUUCUACUAAUAAAUAAAAUCUUCAGGUACGAGGAAAUGGAAGCCAGAAUACUUUCCUGGGAGAGCAAAAGAAAGGCAAAAUCCAGACGUCGACUGGACAGAACAGAGGUUUGCUCCACAAGGCUCCGUUUGGAAUUAAGAAUUUUGCAAUAAUUUAAUUCGAUUUCUUUUCUAACAAUUUUGAAUUCAAAUCUGAACCUAAAAAUUGAUACCCAUCUACUGGAUCUGCAGAGUGAAGUGGAGAAGACGAGGUUAAAAGCCUUGGAAAAAUUUCGCAGUGAGGUAGUUGACAUCAAUGAGAUUGCUGAAGGAGCAAGAUCAAAGGCAAUGGAAAAUAGAAGAAAUGAAGAGUUGAAAGCAAAAGAUAAGGCAAAUAAAAUUAGAGUAACAGGAAAAGUUCCUACUGCAUGUUUCUGCUUCUGAAUCUAACCAUUGUAUAGCUUCUUUAUCUGGCAUGAGGAAAAAAAACUCUGAACUUUAUCAGUUAUCAUUUGUAAAUAAGCAUUUCUUGCAUAACUGUGUAAUGUUAAGUUGCAUUCAUCACAAGCAAUGUACAGACUUUAUUAUUGCUUGGUAAAGCACAUGCUUUUGAAAUUGAGAGAUUGGGAAGAUGAUAAAAUUUCAAUAAUACAUCUGUAAUUUAAUUGAUGAAAGGAGACAAAACGUCUGUUUAACUCAGGCCCAACAAUAGCGAAGUCUAACUCAGGUUAAUCAGAUCAAUAAAAUCAAACCCAAGAAAUUCAAAAGCCAAUCAAACCAGCAACCCAAUCAAUUCCAAUCUAGGAACCCUAGAAGCAAACAGCCUGCAGCAACAAUAGCCACCUGAGACCAAUUCCUCAUCAUCACUAUGUAGAAAAUGGCAAGAAGAAAAGAUAGGAAGGGGUAAAAACUCCACUUGUUUUUAGUCAUUCUGUGCUCAUACACUCUAUAAAGAAUAAAAGAAUGCAAUUUGGAGAAUUCUUAAUUUAUUGCAACAGAAAUUUAGGGCUGGAAGAAAAGAAAUGAAAAAUACGUGUUGUAUUAAAACGUUGCCGUGGAGUCAGAAAUAUGAAGUGAAGCGUUUUGACAAACACAUUGUUUUAAUAUAUCCAACUAACUAGAAAGGUUUAAAAAUAAGCAUUAUUCAAUUCAAAUCGAAAAAAUUAAUCGAAUAGAAUUAAUUUAAAAAUUUAGUUUGAUUUUUUUAUUUAUUUCGGUUGGUUUUGAUUUUUAACUUUUAAAUUUUUUGAUUAUUUCAGUGUGAUUAAAUUUUAAUCAGAAAAAAUUAAAAAAAUUAAAUUAAAUCGAUUAAUUAUAAUAAUAUAUUAUUUUUAAUAAUAUAAAAAAAUUAAAUUAUAUUAAAAUUAAAAUAUUUUAAUUAAAUUUUAAAAUAUUAAAAAUAAAAUAUAAAAAAAGUUAUUAAAAAUUUAAAUCAAUCGAAUCAAAUUAAAUCAAUUUAAUUUAAAUUAAUUUUUAAUCAAAAUUAAUUCAAUUUAAUUUUUAUAAAUAUUAAAAUUUUAAUUUUGAAUAAAUUUUUUAAUUUAUUCCGUUGAGUUGAUUUUAAAUCAAACCCAUCGAAUCCCCCGCCCUCCAAGAGCCGCACCAACUCCGGGUAAUUUGCAUGCAUCAGCAAUCAAAGCCGAACACAAAACAGAGAAAACCAAAGCAGCAGAAAGCUUGUAUUUGAGAAACACGAGUACCGAAAAGGUGAGAGGAGAGUUCAACUUGGGAAAACCAAACCACCGGCGUAAGGGGGUUCAAUCCCGGAAAUUCACCCAUCAAACAUAUGCAACAACCCUCCUGAUGGAAACCACUGCAAUUCUCUGGAGACUCUAGUGCAAAAGCCAAAUCCAAAAAACCCUCUACCAAAUAAAUUCGAUUUGAAAAAAACUGCACCAAAAGAAAAUAAAGGAAAGCAAUAAGAAACAAACAUAACAAACACACUAACAAAAGGAGGGUCAUCGACACAUGAAGAAAAUCAAAACAGAUCACGAAACAAACAAGUCUUCUCUUGCCGUCCGAAAAACCAAACAACAAUCUCAAGAAAACAAGCAAAAAAUCCUAAAAGAAGAAACCAAAACUCCGCAACACACCGUCGUCGACCUUGAUCUCCGAACUCUCUUUCUCCUUCCCUAUCUCUUUCUCUUUCCUCAGAGCUUCUCUCUUAUUCUUUUGCUUUUCCCUCCCCUGCCCUUUUUCUUCUGUUCAAAAUUUUUAGUUGUUGUUAGUGCUUUUCUGAAAAGCAAUUUUCUGAUUAGAAACUGAUGCAGCUUUUCAUAUUUUUUUAAGGGUGUAAUAAUUUUAAAACAUUACCAGUGCUUUUAUUGAAUCAGAUUUUGAUAUAAUUGAGGAGAUUUAUAAUUUAAAAUUUUAUUAAAAUAUUUUUAUAUUUUUCUUUCUAUUUAUGGUCUCUUUUUACCGUUAAAAAAAUAAUAAAAUAUUAAAUUAUCUCUUCUUUUCCUCUUUCUCUUUCUCUUUGUUUUUUUUUUUGUCAAUUUUUUUUUCUUCUUUUCUUCCUCUUUGAGCAGGGUGAACUAUUUUAUUGAUAAAAAAAAAUAAUAAAAAUAUUUUAAUAGAUGUAAGAAAAGAUAGAAACUAUUUAGUUAACGAAAAAAAAAACGAUACUGACAUUUUAAUAAAUAUAAAAAAAAAUAAUAAUAUUUUAAUAGAUUUUUAAAAAUAUUGAGAGAGAUAAUUUCAUUAACGGAGAAAAAAGAUGAAGAUGGACUAUUUCAUUAACAGAAAAAAAAUGAUAAUGACGUUUUAAUAAAUAUGAAAAAAAAUAAGGUCUAUUUUAUUGACGGAAAGAAACGAUAAGAAUGUUUUAAUAUAUAUAAAAAAAAUAAGAACGUUUUCAUAGAUUUUUGAAAAUGUAUAGACUGAUUUGUUUAUAAUAACAAUAUCUAAGAACUAAAUAAAAUAUUUUAUUUGAGGGUAAAAUUAAAUUUUAAAAAUUUUUUUAUUUUUUAUCUAAUUUUAACUAUUUCAUUGAUGGGAGUACUAUUUCGUUGAUAAAAAAGAUAAGAACGUUUUAAUAUAUUUUUAAAAAUAUAGGGAUUGACUUGUUAAUAAUGAAAAUAUUCAGGGAUUAAAUUGUAAAUCUUUCUAAUUUUAAUAAUUAAUAUAUAUUUAUAACUUUUAUAUUUUAUUUAAUAACUUUAUAUUCUAAUGCUAUUAAAAUAACACUUAAACAGUUAAAUUUUUAAAAUUAUAAGCACUAAUAUGUUUGUUUUUGUUCACUAUAUUUAUUUAAUAAUACUCUUUUUAUCCUAUAAUUUUUAUUUUUUUGAUUAUCUCAAAAUUAUUAUUAUUAUUUUUAUUGACUAAUAAUAUAAAUUAAUUAUUAUAAUUUUAUUUUAUUUUUAAAUUUUUUUUAUAUUUUUUAAUAUUUAAUAAAAUUUAAUAUUUUAAAAAUGAACACAAUUGAAAAAUUAAUAAAAAAAUUAUUUUUAUUAUUAUGUGGCGAAAAAAUAAAGUGAAAAAAAUUAUAGGAAAAAGUAUUUUUAUUUUUAUAUUUAUAAAAUGAGACUAAAUAUCAAUUGGUGAAAAAAUAAACGAGGAUUACAGUAAUGUAAUGAUAACAACUUAUACAAUCUUUUAUAAUAAAAUUUAUUAAUUAAUUUAUUAAUUUUAAAAAAUAUAAUAAAAGGUCUUUGAUUUUUUUAAAAUAUAUUAAUUAAUUUUUUUAUUAAUUUUAAUUUUUAAAUAUUAUAAAAGAAUUAUAAUACAUUUAAUAUAAAAAAUUAAUUAAUUGAUUUUUAAAAGACUUUAAAAACUAAAUAAUAAAAUAUUUAACCAUUAAAAUUAAUAAAAUAAUGAAUUAAUUAAUUUUAAUUUUUUAAAAAUUAAUUAAUUAAUUCUUUUAUAUAAAAUAUUUUAAUUUUUUUUAUAAUAUUUAAUAAUUAAAAUUACUGAAAUAAUUAAAUGAAUUUUUUAAAAUAUUAAUACUAUUUUAAAAUAUUUUUCAAGACAGGAAGCUUAUAGCUUCAAAUCUACUUGUCCAACAAACACAAAAGCAAUUUUCAAAAAGAAAUUCAAAAAAAAAAAAAGAGAGAAAAACAACAAACAAACACAAAGGCAGGAGGAACAGCGAAAAUUUUAAUGCAGCAAGAAACAGUUGCCUCAUGUCUUCAAGUAAUCAUGACUAUGAUGUCCAUGAUCAGCACUAUGAUGACGACUGAGAGGUGGCAGUUGCUGAGUGGGAAGAACCGGCGGUGGUGGUGGUGGAAUGAGAGGAGUGGUAGUGCCGGAGAAAAUUCUCAGCCUUCCCUAGAUACCGUCCAAGACGUCUCCCCUCGAACUUGCGAGAGGCAGCUCCAACAAGAUUAGCUGCAGCGCCGGCAACCCUGCCCUUGUCUACUUUGUGACGUUCGUGGCGAAGUGAAGAUUUGGCGGCAUCAGCCACCAUCUUGGCAUUGGAUAUAAGCUCAGAGGAAGAUGGCCGGUGGUGGUUGGUGGAGUUGUUGCCGUGAGAAGCUGGUGAUGAAUCCAUGGAUGUUGGGAUUGGGUAGAUGAUUAGAGAUUAAACUAUAUACAGCUGAAUCAAGAAUUGCAGAGAAAAACUGAAACGACGAAGAUAUAUAUAUAUACACGUGGAUUAGUGGUGAUUUUUUUUUUUUAAACUCACUCUUCCAAACCAAUAAUUAUUUUUAUUAUUUUUAAAAAUAUUUAUCUACAUCCAUUCGUUAAUUUUAAAAGUUCAUUUUAAUCUCUAUAAUUUUAAAACUAUUUAGUCUAUUUUAAAAAUCAAUUAAUCAGUUAAUUCUUUAAUUUUAAUUAUUACAUAUUGUAUUAUUUAAUUUUUAUAAUUUUAAAAAUCUCAUUAAUUAGUACCGUAAAGUUUUAAACAGCUUAUUAAUUAGUUUUUUAUAUUCAAAAUAUUUUAGACAUUUUCAUAAUACUUAACAGUUAAAAUUAAUGGACAACUAAAAUUAAUGAAGAAAUUAAUUAAUAAAUUUUUUAAAAUGUUAAAAAUAUUUUAAUAUAUUUUAUAAAAUAGAGAAACUAACUAAUAAGUUUUCUCAUAAUAUAGAUACUAAAUAAUAAAUUUUUUAUCGUUCAUUGCGAAUAUACUCAUCAGACAUAUUAUUUCAUUACUAACCUAUUUUUAAAACUAUUAAUUAUUUUUAUAAAAUGUAUUUGAUAGAGUAUUAAUGUUAUAUGAGACUCGUUUAAAAUAAGCAGUGAGUUGUUAUCAUAAGACAGGGUCACGUGACUAUAUGCAAUCUCACUUGUUAAAAAGAUGACUUGCAGUUUCACUCGUUAAAAAGAAGAUUUGCAGUCUCAUUCAUUAAAAAGAAGACUCGUGCACUUCAGGACAUGUCGGCCUCUGAUUGGAUAGAAUCGCCCUCUCAACUUUAGGGUGAGUCUCCAUAAGAAAGAUAACGUUCAAUAGCUACAAUCCAGCAGAUCCUCUUUAUGCCUGCGAUCACGGGAUUCUCGAAGAAUUAGCCAAUGAAGAUCUCUUAUCAAGUAACUGACCACAUCGUCAUCAGAUUAUCAGAAAAUGCUAUAUUUAUAUCCACUUUCUUACAUUAUAAAAAGAGAAAGAUCAUAGAGACAAAGGUACGUUAUUCUCUUAUACAACUAUACUUGAGUUCUAAGCAUUACAAUAUUCUCACCAUUCUCUUCAACUUACUGAUUUGAACGUCGGGAUGGCUGCUGUAGGCGCUAACCACCUCACAUUCUCUGUCUUGCAGGUGACCAAUCACAUUCUCUUAUACAACUAUACUUGAGUUCUAAGCAUUACAAUAUUCUCACCAUUCUCUUCAACUUACUGAUUUGAACGUCGAGAUAGCUGUUGUAGGCGCUAACCACCUCACAUUCUCUGUCUUGCAGGUGGACCAAUCACAGCACAGCUCUUUUGGACCAAUCACAGCACAGCUCCAUUCUGACCACGUCAUUAAUUUAUUUUUAGCAAUAUCAUUUAGUUCUGUUGCUGGGAAUCCAUUGAAUUCUCUCCAUUCAUUUGGAUUAAAAUCGAUCUCUUAUCCCUUAUCUCUUAAAAAGAAAUCUCUCUUUUAUCUCUCGAAAUGGCCCGACAAUUCAUGAGCUGCUGCUAAGGUUGCUACCGAUGAGGAUGCUAUCAUUUCUUCACUCCUGGCAGUGGACAAGACACACCCUUAUGGCCAGCAAAGCUGAUCCCAACAAUAUGAGUAUUGAGUAAAUACUCCAGUAUGUCAGAAGAUUAUAGAUUAUUUUCGAGUAAUACAAAGCUCGAGAAGAGGCAUCGCUCAUGUCUCCCAGAGGAAGGGAGGAAGUCUCUGUUAAUACCUCAAGGCCUCGGACAGGAACAAUCCAGACGCGGUCCAAAGGGAAGAACAAGUUCAAGGAAGAGGAGUUAUCAGACGAUGCUCCGAAGGACGUUAACUGGAAGCUAGUACGGGCUACUCCAAGGUACCAGGGAGGCUAGGAAGAGGACAAAAGAACGAGCCAAAAAUAAGACCAAAAGCCAUAGAAGCUAGGAUACAAAGGAGAACAUAAAAAUUACUCAGUCUCCCGAGGAAGCGAUGACCAAAGUAAGUAUAAGAAUUGCACCCCAUUGAAUGACUCACGAAUGCAUAUUCUAAUGUGGAUUAGGAAAAACGACAAGAAGAUCAUGUGGCCUCUUAAACUCAACCCUAAGAAAGUCGAAAAAUGAGAUAGGACUAGGUAUUGCCAUUUUCAUAAAGACCACGGAUAAUAAUUAAGGAGCACCGACAAUUGAAAGACGAGAUCGAGAGAUUAAUAGAAAACGACACACUUUAAAAGUUCAUUAGAAAGAGUAGAAAAGAUUGAUGGAUCAUUCCAAAAUGAAUAACGAAAAGAAAAAGGCCAACUAAUUUGAUGCCAGCUAAUAGGAAAAGAAGGGGUUGGCCUCUUCGCAUAGAUCUGCUUAGGUCUGCCUUUCCACACAGGUCUACUUAGGUUUGCCUCUCUACACAGAGCUGCUUAGGUUGACCUCUCCACAGGUCGGCCUAUCCACACCGUCUUAUGGUCAAGAACAAAAACAUUGUCGUCUUGCUUCUAGUUAUAAUCUUUUCAAGUCCUAAACUCAAAGUAACAAUUUCCGAAACUACCCCGACAGUGAACAUGUGUUUAUUCAUACAAUUGUAGGAGGAUCGAGUGUUACUAGGGGUGACAAUAAGGAGAAUGUCAUAGAUGUCCAGCUCGUGGGUCAAACUUUGAGUUUUGAAAUUAGUCAAGUCAGACGAACGAGUCUUUUAUUUUAUCCUUAGAAAAUGUUUAUAAUAUAUGAAAAUAUUAUAAAACUAGAAUGCAUUCUUCAAGCUUAUUUUUUUAUAGGAAAAUUAUAAACGUUAGGUGGAUGAAAGCGUGAAGACCAGAACAAAGGUCAUAAUCCGGGCAUUGGACCACAGAAACACAUUCAUAAAACAACCACAAGGUCAUCCGGGUGUGGGUCUCGCAUAAGAAGGCAUCUCAUGCCAAGUCAUAAGGCAGUCGCCAGGCCAUAAUCUUAGCAUUGGAUCGCGGAUACACGUUUAUAAAAUAGCCAUAAGACCAUCAGGGCAUAGGUCCCACAUAACAAGGUAUCUCACGCCAGGCCAUAAUCUGGGUGUUGGACCGCAAAAAUACAUUCAUAACAUGGCCAUAAGGCGAUAUGGGCAUAGGUUCCGUAUAAUAAGGCAUCUCAUGCCAGGCCAUAAGGCAGUCGCCAGGCCAUAAUCCAGGCCUUGGACUGCAAAAAUACAUUUAUAAAAUGGCCACAAGGCCAUCCAAGAAUAGGUCCUGCAUAACAAGGCAUCUCAUGUCAGGCCUUAAGGCAGUCGCCAGACCAUAAUUCAGGCGUUAGACUGGGGAAACAUAUCCAUAAGAGGCCACAAGGCCAUCCAAGCAUGGGUCAUGUAUAACGAGGCAUCUCAUGUCAGGCCAUAAGUCGAGAAUCCAUCAGGUCAAAAGACCAGGUAUUAGUCCAGUUUCACAAGGUGUUUCUAAAGCAUUUCAUGCCAAGCAGCAAGUCGGGUAUGCGCCAGACUGACCAACCGGAUGUUAGUCCCACUUCACAAAAAGUUUCUAAGGCAUUUGAUGCCAGGCUGCAAGACGGGUAUAUACUAGGUCGACCAACCGAGUAUUACUCCCGCUUCAUAAAAUAUUUCUAAAGCAUCUCAUGCCAGGCCGUAAGGUGGGUAUAUGCCAGGCCGACCAACCGGAUGUUAGUCCCGCUUCACGAGAAGUUUCUAAGGCAUUUCAUACCAAGUCGUAAGGCGGGUAUAUGUAAGCAGACCAACCAGGUGUUAGUCCCACUUCAUGAGAAGUUUCUAAGGCAUUUUAUUAGUCUCACUUCAUAAAAAAUUUCUAAGGCAUUUGAUGUCAGGCCGCAAGGUAGGUAUACGUCCGGCCAACCAACCAAGAGUUAUUUCAGCUUCACAAGCAGCUUCUAAGGCAUUUGAUGCUCAGACCAUUAGGCGGGUAUGAGCCAGGCCACGCGAUCGAGAGCAUUGGUCCCAUCUCACAAAAAGAACCACAAGCAUGUGUCACUACUCUUACAAAUCACUUUCGAAAAUCUAAAACUUUUUGCAAAAGAGGAAGGCCCAUUAUAGGCAGGUAAGACUUUUUGACGAUCGACAAAGGCAGGUUAGGCUGCCAAGUGAGCAAAUGAAGUUUGCAAAGUGCUUGCAAGGACUAGAAAAAUGCCCAUAAGCUUUUCAGGGUUGAAAAAAUACAUGGAAGCCCGUUAGGACUGUAAAAGGCCAGGAAGUCUAUCAAGACUGUAAAAAGUUAAGGAGCUCGUCAAGGCUGAAAAAAUACGUGUAAGCCCAUCAGGGCUGUAAAAAGCCAAAAAGCCCGUUAGGGUUGUGAAAAAGCUAGAGAGCGCGCAAACGCUAGAGAAUGCCCAAAAGCUCGUUAAGACUAGAAAAUACCCAGAAGCUCGAUAGGGCAAGGAGAAUGCCUAGAAGCUUGUUGGGGCCAGAAGAUGCCCGGAAGAUCGAUAGGACUGGAAAAUACCUGAAACCUCAUGUGAAGUUUGUAAGAUGACCAAAAGCUCGUUAGGGCUACUCGGAGCUAAAGAAUGCCCGAAAGCACGUUAGAGUUCGAGAAUGCUCAGAAGCACGAAAGCUCGUCAGGGCUAGAGAAUGACCGGAAGCACGUCAGGGCUAGAAAAUGCUCGAAAGCACGUCAGGUCUUGAGAAUGUCCGAAAGCUCGUUAAGGCAUUACUAUAUCACUCGGAUCAAUUUUUUCCAAAUAAGAUCUUGGAUCUGACUGGUCAGCAAGGCAAGUAAGAAUAAAACAAGGAUAUCGUGCACUCAGCCCAGACAAACAAGCCACAUGACUCGAAUCAUGAAGACAACUGUGACCUUCGAAUCUAAAGAAUCGAAAACUAGCGGGGGACCUCUGAUGCUAUAUGAGACUCGCAUAAAGCAGGUAGUGAGCUGUCACCAUAAGACAGGGUUACGUGGCAAGGAUCUGAUAAAUCUAUACACGGUCCCACCUGUACAAAAGAAGACUCGGAUACUUCAGAUUGGCUUCAGGACAGGUCGGACUGACUCGCCUCUCAACUUCAAUGCGAGUCUCCAUAAGGAAGGUACUGUUAAACAACUACAAUCAAGCAAAUCUCCUUUACACCUGCGAUCAUGGAAUUUUUGAUCAAUUAGCUUCUAAAAAUUCCUUAUCAAACAGCUGGCCACAUCAUCAUCGAAUUAUCAGGAAAUGCUAUAUUUAUCUCUAAGGAUGGCAGAGGAUCAGGUAUUUUCGAGUACUUGAUCCAACCGAACCCUAAUAGGAUGGAUUUGGAUAGUUAUAAUCGGAUUUGAAACGGGUUCGGGUUUAAAAAAUAAUGCCCGUUGCGGGUUUGGAUCGGAUUCGAAUUUCAUGUAUAGGAUAUCCAUUACUCGAACCCGUUUAUAUAAAUAAUUAAUUUAAUAUAAAAAAUAUAUUUUACAAUAAUAUUUAUAAAUUUAUAUUUUUUUCUUUAAAAAUUAAAAUUUAAAUAUUUUUUAGAAAUAUUGAAUUUUUUAAAUGAAAAUUAUUAAUGAAAAAUAUUUUUUAUAUAAAUUAUUAAUUAAAAUAUAUAAGACUAAAUGGGUUCGGAUUUUAUUCGGAUAGUAAUAAUCGGGUUUGGGAUGGGUUCAAAUAGUUUAAAUUAAUUUUUAAUCGGGUUCGGGAUGGGUUCGAAUAUUACUAAUAUAACUCAGGUUCACAUAUUAUUAAUAUAAUUCGAAUUCCGAUUUUGGUAGUUUAAUUUUCACGGGUACCCUAUCCGUUUACAUCUUUAUUUAUCUCUAUUUUCAUACAGUAUAAGAGAAAAAGGAUCAUAGAGUCAAAAGUUACACUAUUUUCUCAUACAACUAUUCUUACUCUUGAGUUCUAAACAUUACAAUACUCUCGUUCUUCUCUUCAAUUUAAUAACUAGAGCACUAUUUUCUCACACAACUACUCUUGAGUCUUAAGCAUUACAAUAUUCUCGUUUUUCUCUACAAUUUAUUGACUUAAGCAUUAGAGUGGUUUGUCAUAGGCCAAGCACCUCGGGUUCUUUGUCUUGCAAGUGGAUAAUCACAAUACAAUUCCGUUAGACCAAUUAUAAUACAGUUUCAUUCUGACCACGUCAUCAAUUUAUUUUAAAAAAUAUCAAGUAUAUAAUAUAAAAUUAUAAAUAAGUUAUUAUAAAAAAAAAUAAAAUUACCUUCUAAUUAAUUUAGGAAUGAUAAAUAAAUAAAUAAAUAGGAAAAUUGUAGAAUGAUCUUUUAGGGAAGCUUCCUUUUCCGGUGUUAGGUGCAUGCUAUUGUUAGCUUAAUUCCAUCGUCUACACGUUUUUUUGCCAUGUUUCUAACGUCAGCUCUUCUUUAUUCCUUGGGUAUGCUUAAAAUUAUUUAGAUCUAUUUGUGGCUGCUUUUAUAAAUUUUUUAAAAUUAAUUUUAUUAAUAUAUUCUUGUUUUUGUUUUAUAAUUUUCACAAGACAAUUUGAAUAAAAAAAUUUUAAUUUUUUUAUUAUUUUACAAUUAAAUUAAUUUAAAUCUUUAAAAAUCAAUAAAAAAAUUACCUAGUAUAAUAAAAUUUAUAACUUUAUUUUGUUAUAUUUAUAUGAUAAGUACGUAAAAGAUAUUAAUAUAAAAAUUCAAAAUUUUUUACUAUGUUGUAAUUAAUUUAAAACUUCAAAAAUUAAUAUAAUUUAAUUUUAAAAUUUUAAAAUGUACUCUGUGCAAACAAACCACAAUGGACUCCAUUUUUUUUCUUUUAUUUCAAGUCUCUUAAUUUCUUUGUGUGUUAAUCAUGUAUGCUGCUGAGGAGGGUUUGUGCUUAUAUCUGUUGUCCUUAUGUUCUUGAGCAAUAUUAGAAUGUUUAAAAUUUGCAAGAUUAAUAUCAAAAUUAAGAACGAGCGCGUUUAAAUUGAAAAAUUAAACGAAUUAAAUUAAUUUAAAAAUUCGAUUUAAUUUUUUAUUUUUUCAAUUAUUUUUAUUUUUAAAAUUUUUGAUUAUUUUAAUUUAUUUCAAUUUUAAUAAAAAAAAUCGAUAAAAAUAAAAAUAUAUUAUUUUUUAUAAUAAAAAAAAUCAUAAUAAAGCUUAGAACAUCUAAUUAAAUUUUAAAAUAUUAAAAAUGAAGUAUAAAAAAAAGUUUAAUUUAUCAAAUCGAAUCGAAUUGAAUCAUAUUAAUUCAAUUCAAAUUGAUUUCUGUUUAAAAUCAAUUCAAUUUUUAUAAAUAUUAAAAUUUUAAUUUUUAAUUUAUUUAAUUUAAUUUAAUUUUAAAUUAAAUCGACCAAAAUGCUUACCUUAAAUAAAAUGAUUUUUUAUAAUAAAUAUAAUAAAAUUAUUAUAACUAGUAUCUCAUAAGUUCUUUAUUGUAAUGAGCAUGCGAUAAGUCGAAAGAACGAGUAUCUGAUAAGGGUUUUGAAAAGGAAGAAAUCAACCAAUACGAAUUUUUUAUAAUUUUUAUAAAAUUACUGAAAAAUACAGAGAUAGCUUAAAAUUGCGGUCUUUGCACCGAACCAAUCUGCGUUAAAGAAAAAUGAUAAGAUUUUAAAAAUUUAGGGGUAAAAAAAAAAUACUUUUUAGAUAUUUUAAAUUAAAUUAUAUUAAUUUUUAAUAUUUUAAAUUAAAUUAUAAAAUAAUAAAAAAUUUAAAAAAUUUUAUCAAUAAUAUUUAUCUAAAACAAAAUAAGUCGCAUAACAUUGCCACGUUAGUAAAAUAUCCUCUUAAUUUAAAUUUUAAAAUACGAUUGCAAUAAAAUUUACAAUUUUAAUAAUUUAGUAAGUUCUAAAGAUUUAAAUUAAAUCACAAAUUAGUAAAUAAUUUUAGAUUUUUUUAUAAAUAGAAAAUUUUUUAAAUAAUAUAUUAUUAUUAUAUAUAUUAAUUUAAAAUAACUACUAAUUUAAUUUAUUAUAUAAUAUUACAAAUUUAAUUAAUAAAUAAAGAUUAUAUUGAAUAUAAAUUUUUCCAAAUAUUAAUAUUUUAAAAAAUUCAAUUUUAUGAAUUUAUAAAAUAAAAAAUAAUUUAGACAAAAAAUAUAUUCAUCACAUAAUAAUAACAACGAUAAAAGUAACUGCUAAUUUCACGUAUUAAAAAAAACCAACUAUGGUGACGAUUACAGCCUCUUAUACUGAAAUAAAUAUUGAAUAUAAUUGAAUUUUAAUUGAAAAUUUAUAAUAUUUUAAUAUUUUUAAUUAAAAAUAUUAAUACAAAUAAAUUUGUAAUUAUUUUUAGUUGUAAAAAAUGAUAAAUAUAAUUUAAUUUUAGUAAAGAAUACAUUAUUAAUAAAUUAUAAAUUAUAAUAAUUAAAUAUAAAAAUUCAAAUGUUAUGGUUAAUUCCUUAUAAAAAUUCCUUCGUAUUGAAACGGUGUUUAAGGCUAUGACACAUUAAAUUUAAAUCUUCGUUACAGUCAAUUAUAUAAAAAUAAUAGAUAUAAUUAGAUGUGUCUUUAAUCGAUUUAAUUUAAAAUUGAAUCGAAUUAAAUGAAUUAAAAAUUAAAUUAAAUUAAUUUUAAAUAAAAAUUAAUUUAAAUUAAAUCGGUCUGAUUCAAUUCAAUUCGAUUUAAUCGAUUAAAUUUUUUAAUUAUUUUAUUUUAUUUUUUACAACUCAUUUUUAAUAUUAAUUAAAAUAUUUUAUCUUUAAUUAUAAUACCAUCUCUUUAUAUUAUAAAAAAUAAUAUAUUAUUAUCAAUAAUCAGUUGGAUUCGAUUUUGCUGAUUUUUUUUAUCAUUAAAAAAUUUUAUAAGAAUUUAAUUUUAUUAUUAUUAUUCUAAUAAUUUUAUUAUUUAAAAUUAAAAAUUUUAAUUUUUUAAUUUAAUAAUUUUUAUUUUAAAUUAAAAUCAUAUAUUAUUUUAUAAAAAAUUAAUUUGAUAUUUUUCUCAAAAUAUAAAUUAUGUCAGACCAAUGGUAUAAUAAUUUAUGAAAAAUUGAUUAUUAGACAUUUUCUUAUUAGACGAUCUUUAUAACUAUGAUUAAUAUAGUUAUCCGGACUUAACCACAAGCAUGUUUUAAUUAAUUUUUUAAAAUAAAAUGUUAAAAAUAUUAUUAAUAAUAAAAUCUAAAGAUAGAAUAAUAACUAAUCGUUUUUAUGAUUUAUUAUCAAAAAAAUAUUUUAAAAAAUAAUAAUUAUUAUUAAAAUAAUGUGAUAUGUUAUUAUGAAUGCUUAAAGGGUGACAACUUGUAUACUAUUGAAUAAAUUAAUGAGUAUGGAAAAAGAGAAAAUACAUGAUAAUAGUAAGGGCAAAAUGGGAAGUAAAAGACACUUUUGCUCAGGAACUCAAUUUCCUCUACAGUGAAAUAAGUAGAGUUGAAGGCUUCUCGUUUAGUAAAUAUAGCCAAUCAAACAAGACUUAUUUUAAUACUUUCAAAAAAGUUUGACUGUUCCGCAUACGAAAUUAGGAGUGAGCUUUUAAAAUCAAAUCGAAUUAAAUAAAUUAAAAAUUAAAAUUUUAAUAUUUAUAAAAAUUAAAUUAAAUUAAUUUUAAUUAAAAAUUAAAUUAAAUUAAAUUAAUUUAAUUUGUUUCGAUUUGAUUCAGUUUAAUUAAUUUUAAUUUUUAAUAAAUUUUUUAAUUUUUAUAUUUUAUUUUUAAUAUUUUAAAAUUUAAUUAAAAUAUGAUUUAAUUUAUCUAUAUUAUUAAAAAAAAUAUAUUAUUAUCACUAAUCGGUUCGGUUCGAUUUUUUUUAUUUUUUUAAUCAAAAUCGAACCGAAUCGAAAUAAUUAAAAUUUUUAAAAUUAAAAAUCAAACCGAACUGAAAUAAAUAAAAAAUCAAACUAAAAUUUUAAAUUAAUUUAAUUCGGACAAUUUUUUUAAUUUGAACCGAAUACUUCUACCUAUACCCUUUAAGCCAAUUUAUUUAUAUUAACAUGCUUGUCCAAAACUUUUGUCCCAUCAAAUGGAGUUUAUUUAACAGCAGGAGUUCCUUGUAUCACAAUGGCCGUGCUGGCCUUAGAUGGCACGAUUGGCACUCCUCGACCGAAAUUUUUUUUGGAGACAUUUAAAUAUCUACGUGAAUUUAUACAUUCAAUUAAUUAAAAAUUAGAGUAUUAUAUUAAUAUAUGAGUACUAUCAUAUUUUAAAUAAUAUAUUCUUUAAUUUUAGAUAAUAUGUUAAUUUUAAAUUAGAUGAAUUAUACAAUGCAUACAUAAAAUUUUCCUUAUUGAAGAUGGUAUUACCGGUGGAUUGAGUUAAGAAAAUUAUAGGGUUUUAACUGUAUACUGAUGUCCUGAGAUCUCAAAAGUAGAGUUUACAGUACAUGAGAGUGAGUUUAGUUUGGGAAGAUCACGUCUCCCCUCUUUUAUUUUUUUUUCCUUAUCUGCUAGUGAUGCAUAACCGCUCCUUACUACAGUGUCAUCUGUCCCUAUCACUCAGACCCGUAUGUAUGGAUGUACCAGCAUACCCCUCUCUAUCAAGCAGCCAUUUAAUUCUCCACGGUGCGCAUGCUAAUAGAGCUAUGAAGUGACUAGGUCUGCUCUCCUACUUCUUAUCAUGUCACCGGACUAGAAUAUCUCUUGGUGGACCUAUGCGUGUGGUUAGUCUGGCUUGCUUCAUGUCGCCGAGCUGGAGCAUGAGAUGCUGAGUUGGCCUGCUUUAGAGUGGCCUAAUGGGUUUUGGGCCUAUAUUUUUUGCCAAGGCCUGACCUCACCCCGAGUGUAAGAAGUACGGCGGUCAUCAAGUGCCCCUUUACCUCCUCAGCAGUUAUUUCAUGAGUGAUGAGGGGGUAAAUUCCUAGGCCCCCUAUUAUGACCGCGCGACCCGAGGAUGGCUUUUGUCAAAAAGGUCCUUUCCUUGCCUUUACUCUUUUCAAAUUCAAACUCCCAUUUCUCUCCAGACUCUUCUUCUCACUUUGCUCUCACUCCUUCUUCCCUCGCCAACUUCUUUUCUCGAGAGUAUCUAGACACCUCUAUCUAUCGUGUUACGGCUCCUCACCGUAAUGAGAGGAUCAUUCUUUCUGUUCCUCCGCCACCGUGUUUGAUUGACCCCCCAGCGGGAUCGUAGCUUGGUCUUUUUUGUCAAGCAUCGUGAUUUUGGCUUGACCUUCCCUUUCUCUCCCUUCUUCAUCGAGGUUUUCCAUUACUUUGGGGUAACGCCUCGCAUGCUCUCACCCAACUCCAUCCUCUUUAUGUAAAACCCGGCUAGACGCCGGUAUCGAAAUUCUGACUUUCUGGCGGAAUCUCCGUUGGAAUAUGGAAUUCGAGGAUGUCGGAGGUUCUUUGACGGGUAAGAGAAAGGGUUGCAAAAUGUUUCUAAGUGUUUUAUGGUUUUUAAUGCAAAGGAAUUGGGUUUUGAAAGGGAAAAGACCAAGGGGACAAAUUGCAGGUUCGGCCGCCGAAGGAUAAGUUCGGCCGCCGAACAUUGCAUGGUUUCGCCCACCGAAGGUGAAGUUCGGCUGCCGAACGUUGCAUGGUUUUGCAUGCAGCUUAGGCCGCCGAAGGAGAGGCGGUUGGGCCACCUAUAAAAGCCCCGUUGACCGAAAAGGGAGUGUGCAAUCACUCUCUUUUCGUGCAAAGGUAGGCUCAUGCUCUCCUUUGGUCAUUUUCAUGAUAUUUCUUCAAAUCUUUUAAGGUUUUCAUGAGUUUUCUCCUUGUUUUGAAGAGUUGUGAGCUUUGAGCAAGAUUUUGAAGCUUGGAGACUUGUGGAGCUUGGAUCUCCAUAUCUUCACGUUUACGGUCACACCAACUCUUGUUCUUCAAGAGGUAAGUGUAGAUCCUUAGGUUUUAUGAAGUGUUAAGUGAGUUUUAUGGAGGUUUAUGGGUAGAGAUGCAUGUUUAGGGUAAAGUGGGUUUUUGGUUGAUUUGUGGUCAAAGCAUGCUUAUGUGUUUAGAUGUGUUGUUUGUUGGGGUUGUAAGUUAGUUUUGGACCCCUUUGUGCCUAUACUUGAGUAUAUACAGGUUGUGGACUUGUGGUUUGCAUGUUUUGGGUGUUGGAAGGUUUGGGGUGGCUUGUUGUGCAUGAAGCUGAGUUCUGGAUGAACUCAGGUUCGGCCGCCGAAGCAAGGUUCGGCCGCCGAACCCCUUAGGAAGGCUGUUUUAGGCGCCGAACAUACCGCCGAAGGUUGGUGACUUUCGGCUCUGGAAGGUCUUUCAGCCCCCGAACCUUGCCCCCGAAAGUUUAGACUUUCGGAUCUGGAAGGAACUUUCAGCCGCCGAAGGUGCCGCCGAAGAUGCCCUGUCCAGCUUUUCUUUGCUUGUUUUCCAUGCAUGCUUGAGGAUGUUUUAGGGGGUUUUUGGGGAGUUGUUUAUGAGUUGUUUAGAGUGUGUUUGGCACCUCAUUCGAGUCCACCUGUGUAGGAUUGGACCCGAGGGACCGAGGAGGCCAUCAGUGUUAGCUGUUGCAGAGUCAGUCCAGCGUCUGCCAGAGGUAAGUAGAACUAAACUUAAUGUUUUAAAUUGAGAAAUUAAAUGCCUUUUAGCAUGUUUCAUGCACCAUGAGUAUGCAAUAGGUUGAUUGCAUUAGUAGUCACGAAUAUGAUGCAUUGCAUUAUUUAUUGAUGAUGUGGAUGGACCAAGGCGACCUCAAUAGCCCACGAUCUGUUAAGUAAGGAAAGACUUGUGUGAGCUCACAGGGGGGGCGGGGCGCUGACAAAGGGAGUUUUGAGGUCAUUUCCAAUCUGAGAUGUGAAAUGUUUGUGCUGUGACGCAUUUCAUGAAAGCAUGUUAUUAAUGAAUUGUUUUCAUUGUUUCUACUCACUGGGCUUUUUAGCUCACCCCUCUCCCCUAACCCCAAUUUUGCAGGGCCAGAGUUAGCUAUGGAGAGUCAGAGUCAGCAGAGUGCUGAGUAUGAGUUGGUUAUGUAAUAGAAUAGUGGACAUGAUGUAAAUUAAAGGAUUAGUAUGUAAUGUAUAGAGAUAUAAUAUCAUGUAACGGAUAGAGUUGUGCUUUGCCCUAGUGUAUGAUUUAUCCCUUGUUAUGCAUGAUCUUUAUUGAAUGCUUUAUGUUUUAAGAUGAGAAAUGUGUUGCACCAAGGCUGACUUGUGAUAUGCUGACCCUAGGAGAGUGGGUUCUAUGUUUUCAGACAUAGUGCAUGCAGGUCGAGCUUGGUAAGGGAAAGGAAAGUGUUUUCAGUUUUUAUGAUAAUGUUUGAUCAUGUAUGGGAUUUAUCAGGUACACAGAGUUCAGGUUAGGUUUGCUACGGGUCCCAGCGGCCUUAAACCGAUCUGGAUCCUAGCGCCGGUAGCGGUCCGGUUUCCGGGUCGUUACACUUUAUGUGUUCCUUUGAAUCUAUUAGCCUGUGUUGGGGUUUUACCCCGUCUGCUAUCCUGUUCUCCACCUUCUUCCGCCUGGUUAGGGCCAGUAAGGGGUUUUACUAUUUCGCUCCCUAAGGAGGGUUAUCCAUUUUCUUAGGGUAUAAGGACUCCAUAAAAGGAUGGGUUGAAGGUUUUGUGAUGGUGGAGCUAAAGGAGGGCUCUGGGUUAACUUGGGGUGUGGACCUUCCCUAGAGGGAUGUCCCCCCAGGCUGCAAUGACCUGCCACGGCUGCCCGUGCUGGAUCAGAUCUGCCUUCUCCGACUGACCGCUGUCUCGUGGAAGUAUGAUGUCAAGAAGUGCAUGUUCGUGUCCAGUCUUCAGGACUGCCGGGACGCUGGUAUUUGCCUGUUGAUGUUCUGCUUUUCUCUUAUGCCUUUUGCUUUUUCCUGCUUUUUUUUUUAACUGCUGAUUGUUCUUAUUUUUUGCAGCCUCCUCUGCACCGAUGGACAAAAUCAAGCCUCCAAAGAACAUGAAGGCCACCCCGGAGGCCUUCCAGGUUGGCCGUUCAGUGGCAGGUGUGACUCGGGAGGUUUUUCAGGCCAUCUCUCCUCAAGGCCUAGGCUUAGUGUAAGGAGGCAAAGGCUCAGCGGGACGAGGCCUUGGCCCGGGUUGCUGUCCUUCAGUAGGAGCUCAGCAAGCACACCAAGGACUUGAAGGGCAUGGCCUUGGCAGCGGAGGAAUCACGACUUCAACAAUAACAACUCCGCCAAGAGGUCACUGCCCUGGAGGAGAGGUAUUCUACCCUGCAGAAGGACGCCAGGCUUGUAGAAGAUAGGGUCCGGCUAGCCUGCGAGGAGCACCUGUAGAGUACAAGGACUCUGCUGAGCUGAAGGCCAAGAUUGAGCAGGCCUGCGAAGUGCGACUUAUGGAGUACAAGGCUACUGAUGUGAUAAAAGAGGAUUUAUACAACUCAGCCUUCCGCAUGCUCGCCUCCGGGUUCAAUCAAGGCCUGAAGCCAGCUAGGGAUGGCCCAUCCACUCCGUUGGUGGCCCUUCGAGUUCCCGAAGUCGACUCUAAUGGUGAGGAGGUGUGCUACAGAGAGGAUGAUAACCCAUUGCCUAAAUGAGCUCCUCCCCUGCCAGCUGGACCCCAGGGAGAAGACACUGUAAAUAAGCCCUUGAACGAUCUUGUCAAGUUCGGGCUCUUCCUCUGUAAAUAAGUAAACAAAUAAAUAAAGAUAUUUUUCUUUGUAUAUUCUGCCUUUGUGUUUAUUUAUUUGUUGUAAUUUUAUUUCUUGUCUUUUUACUUGACGUCUGAAUAUAUGACGAUCUGGGAGUACACAGUAAUAAUAAAUGAUAUUUCUCCUCAGCAUAUGCUUUGUUUAUACUUAGAUUAUUUUCUGUACAUAUUUUUUUCUUUGCUUUGUCGAGCUGCUCAGUCCCUUCAGGACUUAACUCAUCUUUAUUAUCUAACUUGUGAACGUCUUCUAACUUGCCUUAACAUAAGAGCCUUAAGCUGUAUGCUUACUUAAUAAAUUCCAACUUACCUAACCUACUUAAUUAACAGACUAAAUUAUCCUCUGCAUGACUUUGUCACCAGGAUAGAUCCAGGUUGAGAGCUCGAAAUUUUGCUAAGUUUUUUAACUCGUAAGUUUUUUCCAUUCUCAUGAGGGUACUUAUGUCAUUUUACCUGUGACCUCCUUGGUGCCACUGUAACGACCCGAAAAUCGGACCGCUACCGGCGCUAGGAUCCGGGUCGACUUAAGGCCGCCGGGACCCGUAGCAAGCCUAACAUAAUACCUGUAAACCUGUAUAAUCCCAUACAUGAUCAACAAUAAGCAUAAAAAUUAAAACUUUUCUUUCCAUAAACAUCAACCAAACUCAACCUGUGCAUAAAUAUGAACAUAACUUUGAUCCCUCUGUGGGAUCUCAUCUGUGCCCUCAAAGGGUAACAUAACCUGUGUUGAGCUGGUUUACAUGAACAUCAACAAAACCUCUAAGAUCAUGUAUAAAAAGGGAUACAACAUUCUAUGGUCAAGCACAUACUAACAUCCAUAAAACUCAUUACAUAACUAUACUGUACUUUUACAUUACAAUUUGAUCAUGUCCAUUGCUAGCUAUUACAUAAGCAAGACUUCUUUACUCUAUCCGGACUCCCGUACUAUAUCCUGUACCUGUAAGCCUGGGGGAAAAGGGAGAGGGGUGAGCUAAAAGCCCAGUGAGUAGAGCUAGUAAAAACACAUUAACACUAUGCUCAAAUGGAAUGCAUCAUAACACAAACAAUUCACAUAAGGAUUGAGUGAACUCGUCACCAAUUAGUCCAAGUUAACUCUGUGCCAGGCCUGUAGAAUGGGGUCCUGGUCUUUCCUGUCAGAACAUACAUUACUUACCAUGUUCCCAGGGCCUCCUCUGGGCUCCUGGUCUUCGAGUCCCAUAACCGUACCUUACUCUGUGCCAGGCCUGUAGACUGGGGCCUGGACUUGCUUACUCUGUGCCAGGCCUGUAGCAUGGGGCCUGGUCUUCCUGUCUUGGACUAAUUGGGUCAUCCAACAUUCACCCACAACAACAACAAUUUAUGCAAUGCGGCAUAUUCGUGAAACUAAUGCAAUUAUCCUAUUGCAUAAUUAUGAUGCAUGAAACAUGAUAAAACAUUUAGUUUAGAAGAUUAAGUUUAGUUCCACUCACCUCUGGCUGACUCUGACAACACCGCAGCUGAACUCACUGCUGGGGUCCUCGGUUCCUCGGGUCCGAACCUACACAGGUGGACUCAAAUGAGGGACCAAAAAUACCUGAACAUAACUAUAAACUACUCCCCAAAAAAACCCCCUAAAACAUCCUGAAAACAUCACAGAAAAUAUGCAUGAAAUGGCUGAACAGGGCACUUUCGGCGGCACCUUCGGCGGCCGAAAGUCCUGGACAGAGACGAAACUCAGGCAGGUUCGGCGGCACCUUCGGCGGCCGAAAGUCCCAGACAGAGACGAAAGUCUCUUUUCGGGGGCAACUUCGGCAGCCGAAUGGCCUGCCUCCCCAGCCAUGUUCGGCGGCCGAAAGUACCUUCGGCUGCCGAACCUGGUUUCUGCCAAAGGGCAGAAACUUGGCUCCCUUAACACAUUUCGCCUCCAAACCUUCCAAACAUGCAUAUUUUUCAACCAAAGCAUGCAUACAAGUUCCUAGGGGUCUCAAACAAACAUAUACCCCAUCUACAACACUUCAAACAUACUCAAACAACACGCAUUGUUCAAAACAUCAAUAUAUAUACCCAUAACUCAACAUAUACCCUAGCAUGCAUUUCUACCCUUAGAUCUUGCAUAAAACUUAUUUAGAACACAUAAUAAGGGUGGAUCCGAGCUUACCUCUUGAAGAAAUGAGAGGGAAGACGAUCCUAGCUUGGAGAUGAAGAGAUUGAGCUCCUUGAACCUCCAAGCACCCAAAACUUGCUCUUUGCUCACAAAUCUUCAAAAUAGAAGUUAAAACUCGUGAAAACCAUGAAAGAUCUAGGGAAAACACUCAAGAUUGAGGGAGGAGCGGCGGAGACUCACCUUGGCCGACAAUGGGAGAGAAAAGCUCGCCCGUGCGGACCAAAGGGACCCUUUUAUAUGUGGCUGGCCAGGCCACGUUCGGGGGCCGAAAGUGCCUCCGUAUCCAUGCAAUGUUCGGCGGCCGAACAUGAGGUUCGGCGGCCGAACCCUGACUUCCCUCACUCAUGCUUUCGGGGGCCUAACGUGCCUCCAAAACGCAUGCAUGUUCGGCGGCCGAACUUGACUUUCGGCGGCCGAACCUGGGUUUUCCCUCCAAAGCUAUUUUCAUGUAAAAACUCAUUUAAAACAUAAAAACAUUUCAUAAAAACAUGACUCUACCCUUCUAGAGGUCUCCGACAUCCGAGAUUCCAUCGGACGAUAGGAAUUCCGAUACCGGAGUCUAGCCGGGUAUUACAGCCACGAGCUCGGAUAUGUGAUACUUGGAAUGAUCAUCUUCGCGUAUAAGUUUCUUCUUUUACUCAGUGUGAUAGUUAAAAAAAAUUAUGAAUUAAGCGCCAUGAGUUAUGAGCCUGUCUGAGCUACUAGGGAUUCAUCCGAUCUUAUGAGCUCGACUAUUUCCGUGCAUUUAUGGUCUGUGGGUCCACUCGAAUGGGAGCUCGGCUUUCUAUUACUUUUCCACACUUGACUUAUUUUGCUAAUUUUAUAUGUUGUGAGCUGACUUGAACUAGGAGCUCGACUCUUUGUUUUCGUUUACCUUUUUGUCUGUCCAGUGCCUGUGGGCCCUUUCACAUAGGGAGUUUGGCUUUCUGUUACUUCUUUCACACUUAGCUUAUUCUGCUUGAGUGCUUUUACAUGUCAUGAGUUCAUUCGAACUAUGAGCUCGACUCUUUGUUUUUUACUUAGGCUUUUUCACGUGUUUAUAACCUGUGAAUCCAUUUGUGCCCUGGGCUCGGGAGUUCAGAUUUUCGUUUCCGGCCUUUGGGUGUCUCGAGCUCUUUUAUGAGGUUGAACCUGAUUCCUAAGUUAUGUGUUGAGCUUUAUGCAGGCCACGUUCUGGUCUGUAUGUUUAUUCAUUUUGCCUUAGCUUUUCUUUUGAAGGGGGGCUUAGUGCCUUUGUUUUUCCUUUGUUGACCCUUCCUCCUUCAGCUCGGUUUUAUGCGGAUCUAUUAAGGAUUCAGGCUCAAUGAUCUUAUUGUCGCUUCCAAGCUCUUUGGCCUUGCUUGGGAUUCAAGCUCAUUGGUCUUACUGUCGCUUCCAGGCUCCUUGGCCUUGCUUGGGAUUCAAGCUCAUUGGCCUUGUUCAGGAUUCAGACUCAUUGGCCUUACUAUUGCUUCCAGGCUCAUUGGCAUUGCUUAGGAUUCAAGCCUGUUGGCCUUACUGUCGCUUCCAGGCUCAUUGGCCUUGCUCGGGAUUUAGGCUCGUUGGCCUUACUGUCGCUUCCAAGCUCCUUGGCCUUGCUCGGGAUUCAAGCUCGUUGACCUUACUAUCAUUUCUAGGCUCAUUGGCCUUGCUCGAGAUUCAGGCUCGUUGGCCUCACUGAGGGCUUCAUUCCCUCUCAGCUCGAUUUUGUGGUGUUGGCGGUUAUUUUUUGAAGCCAGUCACCUAUCUCACUGAGGGCUUCUAAUGCCUGUUUUGAAAAUACUCAAAAUAUAUAGGGAAAUAAAAGCAGCAUUUCUCAUUCAUUCAUAUUUUAAGAGUAUAGAGUUUUACAUUGCACAUGUUUCAAGGAAAGUACCUCUUUAGGUGUUGGAUAUUCUAAGCAUGAGGCUUUGGGUUCCCUUGUAGGUCUUCAAUCUAGUAGACCCUAGGCUUGACGAUUUUAGUUAUCCUGAAGGGGCUUUACUAGGUUGGUGCUAGCUUUCCCAUUGCUGCUCUCUUCCAUGUUGCUUCUAGUCUCUUCAGGGCUAAGUCUCCUACUUUUAGGCUCCUUUCUCUAACUUUCUGGUUGUAGUAGCGGGCUUUUUUUUAUUGAUAAGCAGCAGUGCGCACUGGAGCCUGCUCUCUGAUCUGCUCUAGGGCAUCCAAGUUGCUUCUCAACUUCUCUCUGUUGGUGUCUUCAUUGCUGAAUUGGACACAGUGAGGAGGGAUUUGUAGUUAGAUGGGGACUACUGCCUCGGUGCUGAAUGCCAGUGCGAACAGUGUUUCCUUCGUCGGCGUUUGAGAGGUAGUCCUGAACACCCAUAGGAUACUGUUGAGCUCAGCUGUCCAGUUCUUCUUUGCUCCAUCCAGUCGCUUUUUUAAUCCCUGAAGGAUAGUUCGGUUUGUGACCUCCGUCUGGCCAUUUGUUUGAGGAUGAGCUACCGAGGAGAACUUGUGCCGGAUGCCCAUGUUUCUUGUGAAAACCUUGAAGGACUUGCAAUCAAACUGCUUGCCAUUAUCUAAUAUAAGUGUCCUCGGUAUGCCAAAUCUGUAGAUGAUGUUGCUCGAGAUGAAGUCUAUUACUUUGCGCGCUGUAAUGGUGGGCACGGCCUCAGCUUUAGGCCAUUUGGAGAAGUACUCUACUGCUACUGUAACAACCCGGAAACCGGACCGCUACCGGCGCUAGGAUCCAGAUCGACAUAAGGUCGCCGGGACCCGUAGCAAGCCUGCUAUUAUAACGACCCGAAAAUCGAACCGCUACCGGCGCUAGGACCCAGGUCGACUUAAGGUCGCUGGGACCCGUAGCAAGCCUGCUAUACUCUCUGUGUACCUGUAAAGUCCCAUACAUGAUCAUACAUUUUCUGCAAAAACAUAAAACUUAUUCUCUGAACCAAGACUCAACCUGUGCAUGCACUAUCUCUGGACUAUAGAACCCCUUACUAGAGCUUGCUCUAGACGGGUUAAACUCAUACAUGUUAAGCCUGGUUAUCAAACUCAUUAAUAACACAUGAAAAGAUUUACAUAAAACAAACCAUGUACACAAAAGGGAUUUACAGUACAACUAGGUCAAGCACAAUACUAAUACAUCUCUUCACAAUAGUACAUGUCCACACUAUGCGAUUACAAAAGUCUUUACACUUCCUGUACCCUGCUGACUUCCCUCUGACUCUGCUCCUGCAAGACUGGGGUUAUAGGAGAGGGAUGAGCUAUACAAGCCCAGUGAGUAGAACAAAUCAAACAUGUCAAUAAAACAUGCUCACAUGGAAUGCAUCACAUCACAAGUAAAUCACAUAAUCUCAGACGGACUGAUUCAAAAUUCCCUCAAUCUGUGCCCGGCCCGCGAAGGAGCUCCUCAGGACUUUAUUACGCACCCUAGGGUGCUCUAUGCCCGGCCCUCUCAGGGUUCCUCAGGACUUUACUACGAGGGCUAAUGAAUCCACUAUGUCCGAUCCGUACAAGCAUAGAAUAAUGCAAUGCGUCACAUUAGUGUAUUCUAGUGCACUCAACCUAUUACAUAUCAUGAUGCGUGGAACAUGCUCAAAGCAUUUACUUUCUCAAUUUAAAACAGUUUAGUUCCACUCACCUCUGGCUGACUCUGAACUGACUCUGAGUACUCUGAAGCAGUGCUCACUGCUGCUCUCUUCGGUUCCUCUGGUCCGUUCCUACAUAGGUGGACUCAAAUGAGGGACCAAACUAGCUCAAGAACAACUCUAUAAAACUCCCCAAAACCCCCUUAAAACAUCCUACAACAAUCACAUAAAAUAUGCAAAAGAAGGCUAGACAGAGUACUUUCGGCGGCAGGUUCGGCGGCCGAAAGUCCCUUCCAGAGACGAAACUCAAGCACUUUCGGCGACCGAACUUUACUUUUGGCAGCCGAACCCUUUCGGGGGCAAGGUUCGGGGGCUGAAAGGCACUCCAGAGACGAAAGUCUCUAACCUUCGGCGGCCGAAACCCCGCUCCAGAGUCUAAAGUCCAAACCUUCGAGAGUGAGUUUAGGCAGCCGAAACUACCUCCUUAGCACGUUCGGCUGCCGAACCUUCCUUCGGCGGCCGAAACUGGAUUUCUCAGUUAGGCAGAAACUUGUUCUGCUUCAUGCACAACUGCCCCCAAACACACUCAAACAUGCAAACCACAAUUCCACAACCUGCAUAUACUCAAGUAUAAGCACAAAGGGGUCCAAAAACUACCUUAAAACCCCAACAGACAGCACAACUACAUGCUUUGACCAAAAAGCAACCCAAACCUCAACUUACCCUACUCAUGCCUCUCUACCCAAAAACUUCAUAAAACCUUCAUAAACCAUGGAAAGAAGUUCAAGAUCUUCACUUACCUACAAACAAGGAGAUAAACGAUCCCAACGUGGAGAUAUGGAGCAAAACACUCCCAAAGCCUCCAAACUUCAAAACUUGGGUUUAAAGCUCAAAACCUUCAAACAAUCAUAAAAACUCAUCAAAACUUUGAAAGAUUUAAAGCAAAUACAAAAAUCACCCAAGGAAGCUCAUGAUCUCACCUAGGUCUGUGAAAAUGGAAGAAACUUAUCCAUUUCACCGACCUAGGGCCUUUUAUAGGUGGCUGUCCAGACCACCUUCGGCGGCCAAACGUGAAACCAAAACUCAUGCAUGUUCGGCAGCCGAACUUUCACCUUCGGCGGCCGAACCUUGCAUUUCUUCCUUGGCUCUUAUCGUUCACAAAAACUCAUUUCCUUUAUACUUAAAACAUUAAAACAUAUCAAAAUAUUUUGGAAAAACAUGUCUAUACCCUUCUAGAGGGUGCCGACAUCCGAGAUUCCACUGGACUACAGGAAUUCCGAUGCCAGACUCUAGCCGGGUAUUACAUUCUCCCCCCCUUAAAAACAUUCAUCCCCGAAUGUUCCUCAAACAAAUAAACACAUAAAAAGAGGAAAAUCUAACCUUAAAACAGAUAUGGACAUUGCUGAAGCAUAGACUCCCGUGUCUCCCAGGUGCACUCUUCUAGAUUGUGGUGGUUCCAUAGGACUUUCACCAUUGGAAUUUCCUUGUUCCUCAGCUUCCUGAUCUGAGUGUCUAGAAUCCGUACUGGCUGCUCUACAUACGUGAGAUCUCCAAGGAUCUCUACCUCAGGCUCAAUAAGAACCUUACUCGGAUCUGACACGAACUUUCGGAGUAUAGAAACAUGGAAAAUCGGGUGAAUUCGUUCCAUAGAAGCAGGUAAAUCCAGCUUAUACGACACAUUCCCGAUCUUCUGUAAGAUCUCAAAGGGUCCAAUGUACCGUGGUGCUAGCUUACCCUUUUUCCCAAACCGAACCACUCCUUUCAUUGGAGAUACUUUUAGCAAAACCAUAUCACCCUCCUGAAACUCUAUCUGCUUCCUGCGGACAUCUGCAUAGCUUUUCUGUCUGCUCUGAGCAGUCUUGAUCCUCUCUCUGAUCAUGGGCACCACUCUGCUGGUGAGCUCUACGAGCUCCGGCCCUGCAAGAGCCACCUCUCCUACUUCUUCCCAGCAAACAGGUGAUCGGCACUUCCUCCCAUAUAAAGCUUCAUAAGGAGCCAUCCCUAUGCUAGCAUGAUGGCUGUUGUUGUAAGCAAACUCUACCAAAGGUAGAUGCUGCCUCCAAGAAUCGCCAAAGUCUAACACACACAUUCUGAGCAUAUCCUCUAUGGUCUGGAUGGUCCUCUCUGACUGUCCAUCAGUCUGUGGAUGGAAAGCAGUGCUGAAAUCCAACCUUGUGCCCAUAGCACUCUGCAGACUCCGCCAAAAUCUGGAAGUGAACUGAGGUCCUCUAUCUGAAACUAUAGACACUGGGAUUCCAUGCAACCUUACGAUCUCCUCCAAAUAAACCUGUGCUAACUUAUCCACAAAGUAGUUGCUCCUAACAGGGAUGAAAUGAGCAGAUUUCGUCAGUCUGUCCACAAUCACCCAUAUGGAGUCUACCCUUUUGGACGCUACCGGUAAGCCCACUACAAAAUCCAUAGCUAUGUUCUCCCAUUUCCAUUCUGGAAUCGGCAGUGGGUUAAGCAUUCCAGCCGGCUUCUGAUGUUCCAGUUUCACCCUCUGGAAAACUUCACAGGCGGACACAAACUGUGCCACUUUUUUCUUCAUAGCUGGCCACCAAUACACUCUUUUUAGAUCCUGAUACAUCUUGGUGGCUCCAAGGUGAACACUGUACCUUGCAUUAUGAGCUUCCCUCAUAAUGUCUCCUUUCAGACUGAUGUCAUCUGGUACACAUAGUCGAUUCCCAUAGCGGAGGAUCCCUUUGCUGUCAAAUCUAAACUCUGCACUGUUGCCUGACUGAACAGUCCUGGCAAUUUUCACUAACGCAGGGUCCUCAUGCUGUUUCUGAGCCACCUGCUCCAGAAACACUGGGGUCACUCUCAUUUAUGCUAUCAACGCACCCGUACCAGACAACUCUAGCUGUAGCCCUUCGUCGAUGAGCUUAGAAAACUCCAUCAUCACUGGUCUUCUCUCUGCUGCUAUGUGGGACAAACUGCCAAGUGAUUUCCGGCUUAGGGCGUCAGCUACAACGUUCGCCUUACCCGGAUGAUACUGGAUUCUGCAAUCAUAGUCACUGAGCAGUUCUAUCCAUCUUCUCUGCCUCAAAUUCAGCUCUUUCUGACUCAAGAUGUAUUGUAAACUCUUAUGAUCUGUGAAGAUCUCGCAUUUCUCCCCAUAAAGGUAAUGCCUCAACAUCUUGAGUGCAAAGAUAACUGCUGCCAUUUCUAGGUCAUGGGUGGGGUAAUUCAACUCGUGCUUCUUCAACUGUCUAGAAGCAUAAGCAAUCACCCUGUCAUUCUACAUCAGAACACAACCCAAUCCCACUCUAGACGCAUCACAGAACACUGUGAAGUCCUCAUUACUGACAGGCAGAGCUAACACCGGUGCUGAUGUUAAUCUUCUCUUUAACUCUUCAAAGCUCUCUUCACACUGGUCUGACCACAUGAACUUCUGGUUCUUCUGAGUCAGUUUGGUCAUAGGAGCAGCUAUCUUUGAGAAGUUCUGAAUGAACCUCCUGUAGUAACCUGCCAAACCCAGAAAGCUUUUAAUUUCUGUCACUGAGGUGGGUCUAGGCCAGUUAGCUACAGCCUCUAUCUUCUUGGGGUCUACCUCAAUACCGUCUGCUGAUACUACAUGCCCCAAGAAUGAAAUGCUCCUCAACCAAAACUCACUCUUAGAGAACUUGGCAUAUAAACCAUGCUCUCUCAGAGUCUGCAGAACUGUCCUCAGAUGCUGGGCAUGCUCCUCUGCAUCUCUGGAAUACACUAAGAUAUCAUCAAUGAAGACAAUAACAAAGUGAUCCAGAUACUCGCUGAAAACUCUGUUCAUGAGGUCCAUGAAUGCUGCAGGAGCGUUAGUCAACCCGAACGGCAUUACUAAGAACUCAUAAUGCCCAUAUCUGGUCCUGAAAGCUGUCUUUGACACAUCUGCUUCUCUGACUCUCAACUAAUGAUACCCGGACCUCAGAUCUAUUUUAGAGAAACAACCUGCUCCAGCUAGCUGGUCGAAUAGAUCAUCGAUCCUAGGCAGGGGAUACUUAUUCUUGGUAGUGACCUUGUUCAACUGUCUAUAGUCGAUACAAAGUCUAAGGGAUCCAUCCUUCUUUCUGACAAAUAGCACUGGAGCACCCCAAGGUGAGGUACUAGGGCGAAUGAAACCCUUAUCUACCAAGUCCUGCAGCUGCUCUUUCAACUCUUUUAACUCUGCUGGCGCCAUCCUGUAGGGAGGAAUAGAGAUAGGUCUGGUACCAGGCAGCAAUUCUAUUGCAAACUCUAUCUCCCUAUCAGGUGGUAGUCCUGGAAGUUCGUCUGGGAAGAAGUCUAGAAAUUCUCGAACUACUGGAACUGAAGCUGGUUCCCUAACCUGACUAUCUAGCUCCCUCACAUGAGCUAGAAACCCCUGACAACCCCUCCUAAGCAAACGACGAGCCUGAAGGGCUGAAAUCAAACCUCUAGGAGUACCCCUCCUGUCUCCUCUGAAGACACACUCUGACCCAUCCUGGUCUUUGAGACUGACUACCUUGUCUCUGCAGUCCAAGGUAGCUCCAUAUGUAGAUAGCCAAUCCAUCCCUAGAGUGACAUCAAAAUCCGUCAAAUCUAGAACCACGAGGUCAGCUAGAAGGCAUCUACCCUCUAUGAACACUGGACUGAAGCGACAGACUGACACUGCCACUGAUGGGUCACAUUUGGGUCCACUGACCCAGAGAGGACACUCUAACUCAGAGAUUAUCAGACCCAAUCUCUCCACGGCUCUAGAAGCAAUAAAAGAGAGAGAAGCACCGGGGUCCAUCAAAGCAUACACAUCAGAACACCCAAUGAUGAGAUUACCUGACACCACUGUGUUCGACGUAUUUGCCUCCUCCUGUGUCACAGUGAAAAUCCGUGCUGGGGCUACCGGACCUUCACCUCGGGAACCUGCUGCUGAAGAAGAGGCUGACCCUCUCCCUCUGCCUCUGCCACUGCUCUGAGGUAUGGCUGGAGCUGCUGGCUGAGCUACACUGCCUGAGCUCAUCUGCUGGGAUGGUGCCAUAAAGGUCACUUGCGGACAUUCCCGUGCAAAAUGUCCCUCCUGCCCACACUUAUAGUAGGCUGUAGAUCCUAUACGACAAACUCCUUUGUGCGGCCUUCCACAUCUCCUACAUACUGUACUACCUGUGCCAGAGCUUGAGCCACUACCCAUUCCCAGACUAGACUUGAUCUUAUUCCAGAACUUGCCUUUCCUUGCUUUAAACUUUUCUCCCUUCUUGCUGCCAGAAGCUGCUGCACUAGGGGUCUUAGAACCCGAAGACUGUGCCACUUGCUGUUUAACUGUUCCCUGAAUAAUGGCACUCGCCUCCAUCUUCCUGGCGGCAUCCACUAUAGAGUGGAAACUCUCUUUCUCUGCUGGAAGAAUCAAGGAGGAAUACCUAGGAUGAAGUCUCAUGGUAUAUCUCCUUGCCUUCUUCUGGUCAGUAUCAUAAGCCUGACCCACAUACUGAAGCAGAUCCAAGAACUUAUCUGUGUAUUCAUCUACACUCAUUUCUUCAGUCUGUCGUAGCUGUUCAAAUUCUAUAACUUUCAGCUCCCUGGAACUGUCAGGAAAAGCCCACCCUGCAAACUCAUUGGCGAACUCUCCCCAUGACAUGCUGUCCAACCUGGGGUCCACAUAAUUCUUGAACCACUCGCGAGCCUUCUUACAUUUCAAUGUGAACCCUGCCAUCUUAAUGGCUCUGCUAUCAUCAGCUCCUAACUCAUGGGUUAUCAUCUUCACCGUUCUGAGGUAAUCAAAUGGAUCAUCUCCCGUGUUGAACUUGGGAGCAUCCAACUUCAGAUACUCUAUCAUUUUCGCUUUUCUUCCCUCAACUGAGCUAGGAUGAGGUACUUGGACAUCUGGGGCUACUGGUUCUGGUUCUGGUGGUGGAGCAGAAGGUGCAGAACUUGGCUCUGGGUAUGCUGUACUGGGAUGGAAAGGUGUGGGUGGAUACAUGGGAUAUGGUGGGUAAAAAGGAGGAUAAGGCAUAUAAGGCAUGUAGGUAGGAUAUGGGGUAAAGCUAGAGUAAUCCGACGUACCCCCAUCAGAUACCCUGGGCCCUGUGGAAAGGGAGGAUACUGGGGUGGAUAACCAAACCCCGAGGCCUUAGCGCCUCCUUGCGACUCUCCCAUACCCUCUUCCGACCUGUCCAUACCCAUGCUUUCCUCUCUUUGCUAAUCCACAUCCAUAGCCUCCCUCACUUCCUCUGAGCUUCCUCCUCUAUCUGUUCCUCUCCUGCUCUUGUCAAAAGACCUUCUAGGGUCCCUUGACGUACCCUCCCUGCUUGAUCGCUGAGACCUCGCUCUUGGCAACGCAGGAGGACGAGCAUUUGAGCCCUCAUUCACUGGUGGGACUCCAGUCAAUCGUGCAGAUCGACGAGUUCCUCUCAUCUUAACUUUCUGGAGAACAACAGAACAGCACACAUCAGCAUAGAAACAUCACAUAACAACAAUGCACAUGCAUAACUCAUGGCAAUUCACAGCAGCAAAUAGACAGAACUCAACAUCCUAUCCUAGUGGACAUGCUCUCCUAUUGUGCUUGACCUACUAGAACCUCUAUGAGCCCGACACACUCGCUAUAGGUCCGACCAUAUGAACCUAGGGCUCUGAUACCAAUCUGUAACGACCCAAAAAUCGAAUCGCUACCGGCGCUAGGAUCCAGGUCGACUUAAGGUCGCCGGGUCCCGUAGCAAGCCUGCUAUACUCUCUGUGUACCUAUAAAGUCCCAUACAUGAUCAUACAUUUUCUGCAAAAACAUAAAACUUAUUCUCUGAACCAAGGCUCAACCUGUGCAUGCACUAUCUCUGGACUAUAGAACCCCUUACUAGAGCUUGCUCUAGACGGGUUAAACUCAUACAUGUUAAGCCUGGUUAUCAAACUCAUUAAUAACACAUGAAAAGAUUUACAUAAAACAAACCAUGUACACAAAAGGGAUUUACAGUACAACUGGGUCAAGCACAAUACUAAUACAUCUCUUCACAAUAGUACAUGUCCACACUAUGCUAUUACAAAAGUCUUUACUCUUCCUGUACCCUGCUGACUUCCCUCUGACUCUGCUCCUGCAAGACUGGGGUUAUAGGAGAGGGAUGAGCUAUACAAGCCCAGUGAGUAGAACAAAUCAAACAUGUCAAUAAAACAUGCUCACAUGGAAUGCAUCACAUCACAAGUAAAUCACAUAAUCUCAGACGGACUGAUUCAAAAUUCCCUCAAUCUGUGCCCGGCCCGCGAAGGAGCUCCUCAGGACUUUACUACGAGGGCUAAUGAAUCCACUAUGUCCGAUCUGUACAAGCAUAGAAUAAUGCAAUGCGUCACAUUAGUGUAUUCUAGUGCACUCAACCUAUUAUAUAUCAUGAUGCAUGGAACAUGCUCAAAGCAUUUACUUUCUCAAUUUAAAACAGUUUAGUUCCACUCACCUCUGGCUGACUCUGAACUGACUCUGAGUACUCUGAAGCAGUGCUCACUGCUGCUCUCUUCGGUUCCUCUGGUCCGUUCUACACAGGUGGACUUAAAUGAGGGACCAAACUAGCUCAAGAAAAACUCUAUAAAACUCCCCAAAACCCCCUUAAAACAUCCUACAACAAUCACAUAAAACAUGCAAAAGAAAGCUGGACAGAGCACUUUCGGCGGCAGGUUCGGCGGCCGAAAGUCCCUUCCAGAGACGAAACUCAAGCACUUUCGGCGGCCGAACUUUACUUUCGGCAGCUGAACCCUUUCGGGGGCAAGGUUCGGGGGCUGAAAGGCACUCCAGAGACGGAAGUCUCUAACCUUCGGCGGCACCUUCGGCGGCCGAAACCCCGCUUCAGAGCCGAAAGUCCAAACCUUCGGGGUGAGUUUAGGCAGCCGAAACCACCUCCUUAGCACGUUCGGCUGCCGAACCUUCCUUCGGCGGCCGAAACUGGAUUUCCCAGUUAGGCAGAAACUUGUUCUGCUUCAUGCACAACUGCCCCCAAACAUACUCAAACAUGCAAACCACAAUUCCACAGCCUGCAUAUACUCAAGUAUAAGCACAAAGGGGUCCAAAAACUACCUUAAAACCCCAACAAACAACACAACUACAUGCUUUGACCAAAAAGCAACCAAAACCUCAACUUUCCCUACUCAUGCCUCUCUAUCCAAAAACUUCAUAAAACCUUCAUAAACCAUGGAAAGAAGUUCAGGAUCUUCACUUACCUCACACAAACAAGGAGAUAAAUGAUCCCAACAUGGAGAUAUGGAGCAAAACACUCCCAAAGCCUCCAAACUUCAAAACUUGGGUUUAAAGCUCAAAACCUUCAAACAAUCAUAAAAACUCAUCAAAACUUUGAAAGAUUUAAAGCAAAUACAAAAAUCACCCAAGGAAGCUCAUGAUCUCACCUAGGUCUGUGAAAAUGGAAGAAACUUAUCCAUUUUACCGACCUAGGGCCUUUUAUAGGUGGCUGGCCAGACCACCUUCGGCGGCCAAAUGUGAAACCAAAACUCAUGCAUGUUCGGCGGCCGAACUUUCACCUUCGGCGGCUGAACCUUGCAUUUCUUCCUUGGCUCUUAUCGUUCACAAAAACUCAUUUCCUUUAUACUUAAAACAUUAAAACAUGUCAAAACAUUUUAGAAAAACAUGUCUAUACCCUUCUAGAGGGUGCCGACAUCCGAGAUUCCACUGGACUACAGGAAUUCCGAUGCCAGACUCUAGCCUGGUAUUACAGCUAUACUCUCUGUGUACCUGUAAAAUCCCAUACAUGAUCAUGCAUUUUCUGUAAAAACAUAAAACUUUGCUAUGUACCAAGGCUCAACCUGUGCAUGCACUAUCUCUGUACUACAGAACCCCUUAAACUUCCUCCCAAACUUCUCAUACAUGCAAACAAAAAUUCCACAACAAACAUAUACUCACGUAUAUGCACAAAGGGGUCCAAAACUACCUUAAAACCCCAACAAACAACACAACUCAAAACAGAACAUGCUUUCACCAAUAAUCAACCAAAAACCCUACUUAACCUAUUCAUGCAUCUCUCCCCAUAAAACUCCAUAAAAUCUUCAUAAAACAUGAAAAGAAGUUAAGGAUAUACACUUACCUCUUGAAGAUCUAGAGAAUAGGUAAUCCUAAUGUGGAGAUAUGGAGCAAUGCUCUCUCAAAGGCUCCAAGCUUCAAAACAACAUGAAAACUUAUCAAAACUUUGAAAGAUUUGAAGAAAACAUGAAGAUCACCCAAGGAAGAUCAUGGUCUCACCUCUGUCCGUGGAAAUGGAAAGAAAACCUUAUCCAUUCACCGACCUAUGGCCUUUUAUAGGUGGCUGGCCAGACCACCUUCGGCGGCCAAACUUGAUUCCUAAACUCAUGCAUGUUCGACGGCCGAACCCCACUUUCGGCGGCCGAACCUGGCAAUGCUUCUUUGGUUCUUUGCUUUUACAAAAACUCAUUUUCGUUACACUUAAAACAUUAAAACAUACCAAAACACUUUAGAAAAACAUAUCUAUUACCCUCGAGAGGGUUCCGACAUCCGAGAUUCCACCGGACUGUAGAAGUCCAAUGCCAGACUCUAGCCGGGUAUUACAGCUACUAUCACGAACUUCUUUUGCCCGGUGGUCUUAGGGAAAGGGCUCAGGAUGUCUAUGCUCCACUGUGAGAAUGACUAAGGGCUUGAUAUGCUAGACUGUGGUGUAGCCAGGACGUUGAUGGCAUUAGCAAACCUUUGGCAGACAUCACAUCUUCUGACGAAUUCUUCUGCUUCUUUUUUAACUGUGGGCCAGUAGUAGCCUUGUUUAAAGAUUUUGUUUGCCAACGUUCCUGCCCCUUCAUGAGCUCCACAGACUCCCUAAUGUAUCUCCUCAAUCACCCUGACCGCUCCUUCAGGACCCACACAUCUGAGUCAUGGACUGGAUUUCCCCCUUCGGUAUAAGGUCCCUCUUACUGCCUGAUAAUUGGCAAUCCGGGCUGCAAUUUUCUCGCUUCAACUUUAUCCUCAGGUGGCUUCCCUAUCUCUAGGUACUUCAGGUAUGGAGUCAUCCAGUUCUGCCCUUCUUCGAUUUGUAUUAUUGUGGUGGGUUUUUCAAAAGUGGGGAUGCUGAUGUGUUGUAUGUAUACCUCAUCUGGGAGCUGUUCUAGUUCUUUCUCGGAUAACCGGCUAAGCAGGUCUGCUUCAUCGUUCUCCUCCCUAGGUAUCCUCUGAUACGGCACAAAAAUUCCCUACUCUAUCAUAAGCUGUCAUUGGUAGCAUCAUGAUCUUUUUCGGGAUGGUCUUUUAUUGGAUCCAACUUGAAAAAGGUGAGGACGUGGGCAAAAGGGUCUGGCUGAUAUCAUUUGUCCCGGUUCAGCUAGGAGCUGUUCCUUCAUCUUCCUUAGCUUUCGAUCUACAUAUGACUCCUCUUGCCUUGGCCUUUUCUCUAGGCUGUAUCCCUCCUUUCAUUCCUCACUUUCCAUCCUUCCUGCUGUCCUCGCAGAGUAGCUCUCUGCUUCGUCAUUCUCAAUGAGCUCUCUCAUCCUCCUUCCUCGGGCCCUAACUGCCAGCUCAUCUUCUCUAGUGGCUCCUCCGCUCCCUUCUCCGGUUCUUCGACUGCUUUGCUGGGGGAUUUGGUAGUUGAAGGUGGGUUGUGGCUCGGUGGCAUUGAACCCUUCAGCUACAAGAGUUAUGCUUAACGGGGUAUUAAGGCCCCUCUGUUGUAACAUCUACCCCAGCCAGUGAGCAGUGUUCUGUAGCUUGAGGGCCAUAGUUUGGAGUUCUUGGUCGGAUAAGGUGGCCCUGGAUACAUUCCUUGCCGAGUUUGGCGAGGGAUUAAAUAGCACGAGUGGUUGGUUUGAGGGGGUUGUAGGACUAGAAAAAGAGAACUGCUGACCUUCUUGAGCAGAGCUCAGGUCGUUAGGGGUGUUACUGAUAUAGUUUUCGUUAUGGUUUGCCAUGUGAAUCUCAAUGGGUAUUAUAAGAAUGGAACUCCAGUGACGAGAAGAUCUCUUUCGUUCCCACAGACAACGCCAAUUGAUGUUCUGAAAUUCAGAAAGUAGGGUUUACAGCGUAUGAGAGUGAGCUUAGCCUGGGAAGAUCACGUCUCCCCUCUUUUCUUCCUUUUUCCUUAUACUCUAGUGACACAUAACCGCCCCUCUACUACAGUGCCACCUGUCCCUGUCACUCAGGCCCGUACGUACGGAUGUGCCAGUGUACCCCUCUUUGUCAGGCGGCCAUUUAAUUUCCCUCAGCGCGCAUGCUGAUAGGGCUAUAAAGUGACUGGACCUGCUCUCCUACCUCUUGUCAUGUCACCGAGCUAAACUAUCUCCUAGUGGACUUAUGCGUGUGGUUAGUCCAGCUUGUUUUACGUCGCCAGGCUAGAGUAUGAGAUGCUGAGUUGGCCUGCUUUAAAGCGGCCUAACGGGUUUUGAACCUAUAUUUUUCUCCAAAGUCUGACCUCACCUAGCGUGUAAGAAGGCUGACGGACAUCAUAUACUAAACCUUGAAAAAUUUUAUAAUAAAUUAUAAAAUUUACCUUUUUGUAAAAAAAGAGUUAGGUUGCUAGUGUCUAUUUGUUCACAUAGACUUGGGCUUAUAAAACUUUGUUUAUUGUUAUUUUUUACAUUCAGACACCACCUUAAUGAAAUAUAUUUCUACUGCCAAUUAAAAAAAAUGGUAUUUAUAUGUCAUAGGAACAACUUAUUGAAAGGAAUUUUUAUUUUAUUAUUAUUUUUACUUUAAAAACUUUAAUUUAAUUUAUAUCAAAAUAAUAUUUAAAAAAACAUUUGCGUGCGAAUAUUUUGAUGGUGUUUAAAAUUUAAAUUCUAAACACAAAACAGAAGAAUAUGAUAGAUCCCACGUCACAAUUCAAUUGAAUUCACUUAUCUGUAUCUCGUGUACACCGUAGAUUAAGUGUCGGCAAGAAUUGCCUCUUUUCUUCUCCUUGCACCACAUGUCCCCUCUUUCUCCUUAUCCUCCAUCCAUUCCUUCCGUUGUUGCGACCCACCAUCACCCAAUAAUGUAUAAACACAUCAUCUAUACAUUCAUUAUCAAUUAUGAAUUUGUACUAAAGUUAUCAUCAUUGUUCGAAAAAAAAAAUCUUAUUAAUUUUUAAGAUAAUAUAAAAAAUUUCUAAAUUAUUCAAAUUUUAAUAAAUAUAUUUAAAAAUAUAAAAAUUAAUUAAUAUAUUUUAAAUUAAUUAUUUAAAUUUAUUUAUACAAUAGUAUUAAAUUUAACCAUUAAUUUUAAUGAAAAUAUCACGUUAUUCUCUAGACAAUAAUAAAAAUUAAUAUUUUAAUAUAAUUAAAAAUAAAUAAUUAUAAGAAACCUAAUUUUAGUAAUUAUAUUCUAAAUUUUUAAUAAAUAUACUGUAAAUAAUUUUUCUAUUUAGUUUGAUAUUUAAUAUUGAUUCAAUUUAUUUAUAAUUUCGAAUUAUACAUAGCUGAAUUUAUUUUUUGAUAUUCGUUUUGUUAUAAUAAAUAUAACGUUUUAUAUAAUUAUAGGUUAUAAAUAUUAUGAUAAUAUUACAUCUAAAAAAUUAAGAGUUAUUAUUUUUUUUACUUAAAAAAUUAAUUAUAUUUAUUCACUCUGAUUAAAUUGAAAAUCAAUAAUUAAUUUAAUAAAUUUAAAAUAAUUAAAUUCAUUAAAAAAUAUAUAAAUUGUAGUUAUAAAUUAGAUUAAACUUAAAUAUUUUCAAUUAAUUAGAUUGAUUCUUAAUUUUCAGCUCUAUAAAGUAUUUAUACUAAAUAUAAUUAAUUUUUUAAAUAGUAAAAAUUAUAAUUUUUAAUUUACUAAAUAUAAUGUUAUUACAAUACUUAUAACUUAUAAUUAUAUAAGAAGUUAUAUUUGUCAUUAAAAAAAAUAAUAUCAAAAAAUAAGUUAUUGACUUCUAUAAAUAUUUCAUUCAAAAUUAUAAAUAAAUCAAAUUAAUAUUAAAAAUCGAAUUAAAUUAAAAAAUUAAUUUGAAAUAUAUUUAUUAAAAUAAAGUAUUUAGGUGUAAUUAUUAAAAUUAGUAAAAAUAAUUUUUUUUAAAACAAAUUGAAUGAAAUUCAACGAUGGAUUUAGAAAUAUAUUUAUUAAAGUAAAAUAUUUAGGAUAUAAUUAUUAAAUUAGUAAAAUUUAAAUUUUUUAUAAUUAUUUAUUUUAAAUUAUUAAAAAUAUUAAAUUUAGUCUAUUAGUAAAUAUAUCUGAAUAAAUGGAAUUUUAUAUUUUAUUUUUUAUAUUUAAUUAAUAAAAUAUUAAUUUUAAUAAUGAUGAGAAUAGUGAUAUAAAAUUUCGUUAAAUCUAACUGUAGAUAUAUUAAUUAAUUUUUAUAAUUUAAAUAUAUUAAUUUUGGUUAUUUUAUGUUAAAAUUAGUUAAUUCUCUAUGGAAUAAAUCUUAAAAAAUUGGGUACAAAUAAUAAAAUGAAAGGAUUUAGAAUUUUUAUUACUAAACUUUAUGUCAUAUCAAUAAUUAUAUAUAAAAUAUUAAAUAUAAACAAAUCAGUAAUACCAAUUUUCAAUCUGAUGGUGACUAUACAAAACACAAAAUUUCGAAAUAAAGUUAAGAUUUUUCAGAAAAUAUUUAUGGAAUUCAUAACUAAAUAAACACUGGAAUAGUGAACAGAACAUACAAGACAGGAAAGGGAGCUUACAACUUCAGAUCUAGUUGUACAACAUACAUAAAAGCAGAAGAAGAACAAAAGCUUUGCCUAAUCGCUAUUAUACAUCAGUUUUUCUUCAAGAAACCUUGAGCCAUCUUCAAGUAAUCACCAUACCCACCUUCAGAAUGUCCAGCACCACCGCUUGACUGGGUUGACGACUGGGUGGCGGCGCCGCCGGUUGCUGAGUGGGAAGAACUGGUUGUGGUGGUGGUGGUGGUGGAGGAGGAUUGAUACUUGUGGAGAUAAUUCUCAGCCUUCUCUACAUACUUGCCAAAACUUUUCUCCUCAAGCUUGCCGUAGUGAGAGGCAGCUCCAAGAAGAUCAGCUGCAGCACCAGCAACUCUGCCUUUGUCUACCUUGUGAGUUUCGUUGUUAAGUGAAGCUUUGGCUGCCUCAGCCACCAACUUGGCGCUGGAAAGAAGCUCAGAGGAAGAUGGUUGGCGGUGCUCGGUGGGUU